rnacentral:lncRNA from 1 species
ACCUGAGACCACUGGCCCGAACAUGGUUGUUGAUAUGUGUAAGGGAGUGCAGUACCUCAAUGAAAUCAAGGAUUCUGUUGUGGCUGGCUUCCAGUGGGCCUCAAAGGAGGGUGCACUGGCUGAGGAGAACAUGCGUGGCAUCUGCUUUGAGGUCUGUGAUGUUGUUCUUCAUGCUGAUGCAAUUCACAGGGGUGGUGGCCAGGUCAUUCCAACUGCCAGGAGGGUUAUUUAUGCUUCUCAGCUCACUGCCAAGCCAAGGCUGCUCGAGCCAGUUUACCUUGUGGAGAUCCAGGCCCCAGAAAAUGCACUUGGUGGUAUCUAUGGUGUUCUGAACCAGAAGAGAGGGCACGUGUUUGAGGAGAUGCAGAGGCCUGGUACCCCGCUCUACAACAUCAAGGCUUACCUCCCUGUCAUCGAGUCCUUUGGGUUCUCCAGCCAACUGAGGGCUGCAACCUCUGGCCAGGCGUUCCCUCAGUGUGUGUUUGACCACUGGGACAUGAUGGGCUCUGAUCCUCUGGAGGCCGGCUCCCAGGCUGCUCAGCUGGUGUUGGAUAUCCGCAAGAGGAAGGGUCUCAAGGAGCAGAUGACCCCUCUUUCUGAGUUUGAGGACAAGCUCUAAAUUUUGGUGGUUUGUGCUGCUGUUACCCAUGCUGGUUUCAUGGCCAAUUCGUCUACUGUAACUGGAACUACUUUCAUGUUUCAUUUCCUUUAGUUGUCAGAUGCAUCUGUUUUUGAACAUCAUUGGCCAUAUGGCAUUGUGCUGCUAAGACUGUAUUUUGUUAUCCGGUUGUGAUGUAACAGAUGAAAUAGAGUUCAUAUCUGUGGUUUAAGUGGUAGUAUUUGCGGUAUAAUGCUUGUUUCUACUGCCUUCUGAAAGCCUUUCUUUUGCCUAACGGUAGAGCGGAUUAACUAAGGGUGUUGUAUCAUUUGAUUCAUUUGAUCCUUCAUCAAGGAUGAAGCCAUCUCCUCAUGGGAACACAUUAUUCUACUAUUAGAAGCGAAGAUGUAACAAAUUAGUUGAAAGAGGAGCGUUGAAAGAGGAGCGAACCAUACUUUACUAUAUGGUAAGUAGCAAAUUAGUUACAAGUAGCAAAUUAGUUGAACUUUAGGAUCAUGCACGUUGAACCUUGUUAUCUAGGAUCAUCCAUGGAUCAUGCACGUUGAACCUUGCUAACUAGGAUCAUGCACGUUGACCCUUGUUAUCUAGGAUCAUCCAUGGAUCAUACACGUUGAACUUUGCUAUCUAGGAUUAUCCAUGUAUGCAUCAUGUAGUGCAUCUGUGCAUGCAAUAUUCUGUUAUCUAGGAUCAUCCAUGGAUCAUACACGUUGAACUUUGCUAUCUAGGAUUAUCCAUGUAUACAUCAUGUAGUGCAUCUGUGCAUGCAAUAUUCUGCCCUUAGCUUGGUUUUACUGCCGAUAGCUAUAUAGUGCAUUUAAAUGCUUUUCUUUUGCCCACAGCCCCAGAGGUAGAGAGGACUAACUGUUUCUGUUGCUUUUUUUUUUUACGGUCUACGGGAGAGAGUGUGUGUGUGUGUUGGGGGUGGGAGCGCCCCCACCUGAUUUUCAUUUCAUUGAGGGUCUGUUUCAGGCCAAACGCUGUGUAGAUCAAAAGGAGAUAGAGAGAGGCAGUGUACAUCUGGUUUUGUGAUUGUUUUACAUCGAAGCAAAGACAGUGCACCAGGAGUCGGUUAUCACGCGAUCCUCUAUGCGAAACCGCUCGCGCCAAAGUCGGGCUUCGUCUCGGCAUGCCGACCAGAAGCGUUGUUGAGAUGGAGCGCAGCGCUGGAACACUGGGUCAUUCCGGUGCUUCCAUAACACCCACGGCAGAAGGAGUUUUUUCUUGCUUUGCCUUUAGCUUGGCUUUAAUCCUGUUAGCUAUGCCUAUGUAGAGCAUUUGGUCCUUCGAAUUUUAAAUCGAUGUUGAUUUUGAUUGCAUGCCGUCAUUUUGGGUUGGUUCCAACUAUGUUUUUAAUAUCAGUCGUUCUGAAGGUUACUCUGUUGACACUUGAUUGCAUAACCGUUUGCUAGUUUUGCGUGCAUCCGCGUGCUGGUUCGUCUCAUCAAGAACUAGCCGUUGCUCAAAACUCUGGCUUUCAGGCAUGGCCGCAACAGCCUGGAGGAUGUGUUGCUGUUCUGUAGCUGUAGUGUGCGUCUGUGCUAGUGGAUGCAGGGAGCCAGCGACCUAAAAGGAAUCGUGUAUUAGUGGAUGCAGGACAUCGGCCGUGGCGGCCUGGGGGAGACGACCACGCUCGACAUGAACGGCAGUAAGUUCAAUGGCACGAUCCCGGCGUCGCUUACCGGCCUAUGGAGCCUCCAGUAUCUAGAUGUGAGCGGCAACCGCUUCACCGGCACCAUCCCAGCGUUGCUAUCUGGACUCCGGAACCUCCAGCUUCUCGGCCUGAAUGACAACCUCUUCACCGGCACCAUCCCGGCGGACCUCGGCGAGCUGGCGAGCCUUCACAUGCUGUAUCUGGCAAACAACCAGUUCGAUGCAGGCCAGCUGCCGUCGUCGUUCAAGAACCUGACCAACCUGGUCAGCCUCUGGGCGUCGCAGUGCAACCUCGUCGGAGAGUUCCCGAACUUUCUUUGGAGCCUGAAGGAGCUGCAACUAUUGAAUCUGUACACGAACAACCUCACCGGCAACUUGGUGGUUGAUGGCCUUGUUGCGAGGAACUUGACAGUAAUCGACGUCUCGGAGAACAAGAUCACUGGAGUUAUCCCGAGUGUUUGGGAGCUUGGAGAACCUCAGAGACUUGAACUUCUUCAUGAACAACUUCUCCAGCGAGAUACCAGCCAGCAUCGGCCGGUUGCCCUCACUGACGAGGUUGAGGCUCCACACCAACAUGCUUAACGGCACGCUCCCACCGGAGCUCGGAAAGCAAUCGCCGGGCUUGAAUUAUGUUGAGGUUGAUUACAAUGAGCUCACCGCCGAGAUCCCGGAAGGGCUGUGCACUGGAGACAACCUCCAGCACCUCACCGCCAAGAGCAACCAAUUGAACGGCUCCAUCCCAGCAGGCCUUGCCAACUGCGCCACUCUUGGAACCCUGUCGCUGGACAACAACCAACUCUCUGGCGACGUACCAGAGGCUCUGUGGACGGCGACGAAGCUUUACCAGAGGCUCUUCCGGCCACGGUGCAUCUCAACCUUUCGACGAUACUCAUAGGGAACAACCAAUUUGGUGGCAACAUUCCGGCUGCACUAGCUGCGCUCCAGGUGUUCACCGCCGAGAACAACCGGUUUUCUGGUGCGAUACCGGCGAGUCUUGGCGACGGCAUGCCGCUGCUGCAAAGACUGAACUUAUCCGGUAACCAACUGUCCGACGGGAUCCCCAGAAGCGUUGCUAAGCUAAGCCAGCUGACGGAAAUGGACCUGAGCAGGAAUCAGCUCACCGGAGGCAUACCGGUAGAGCUCGGCGCCAUGCCGGUGUUAAGUGUCCUUAACCUGUCGUCGAACAAGCUCUCCGGCAACGUGCCGCAGGCGCUUGCGAAGCCGACACUCACCGCCCUAACCUGUCCUCGAACCAUCAGACCGGCCAGGUCCCGGCCGGGUUCGCCACCGCGGUCUACGACACCAGCUUCCUCAACAACCCCGGCCUCUGCACCGCCGCUUGGGGACCUGGCUACCUCACGGGCGUACGCUCCUGCGCCGGUGGAUCACAAGACGGCGGUUCCUCCGGAGGCGUGUCGCACGCCCUGCGCAGGGGAACCUCGCCGUGGCGUUCGCCUUCUUCGUCGUCCGCGACAUCAAGAAACGGCGGCGCGUCGCGGAGCAAGACAACUGGAAGAUCACGCCUUUCGUCAAAGAUCUGGGAUUCGGUGAGGCACCCAUACUCCGGGGGCUGACGGAGGAGAACCUCGUCGGGCGCGGGGGAUCGGGGCGCGUGUACCGCGUCGCCUACACCAACCGGCUUAACGGCCGAGCCGGCGCGGUGGCCGUAAAGCAAAUACGGACCGCCGGGAAGCUCGACCAGAAGCUGGAACGCGAAUUCGCGUCAGAGGCUGGCAUCAUCGGCAACCUCCGGCACAACAACAUCGUCAAGCUCUUGUGUUGCCGCUCCAGCGCCGAGUCCAAGCUCCUCGUGUACGACUAUGGACAACGGCAUCCUGGACAGGUGGCUCCACGGCGACGCCCUCGUCGCCGGCGGGCGCCCCAUGGCGAGGGCGCGGUCCGCGCGGCGCGAGCCGCUGGACUGGCCGGCGAGGCUCAGGGUGGCCGUCGACGCCGCGCAGGGGCUGUGCUACAUGCACCACGAGUACGAGCCGCCCAUCGUCCACCGCGACGUCAAGACGAGCAACAUCCUGCUGGACUCGGAGUUCCGGGCCAAGAUCGCCGACUUCGGGCUGGCCACAGGAUGCUGCUGCAGGCCGGGGCGCCGGAAACGAUGUCCGCCGUCGCUGGCUCGUUCGGCUACAUGGCUCCUGGUAAGGAUUCGAACUUGCUGCUUUCAGUGAAUUUCUGUCCCAUUUCUACAAAUGCCACGUGUUCUCGUGUUGCCGGACCUUAGAUUGGGCCUUUUGAUGCUUAUCUGCAGAGUGUGCUUACACCAAGAAGGUGAACGAGAAGGUAGACAGCUUCGGUGUCAUUCUCCUGGAGCUCACCACCGGAAAGGAGGCCAACAACGGCGGCGAGCACGGCUGCCUGGCGGACUGGGCACGGCGCCACUACCAAUCAGGAGGGAGCAUCGCCGACGCCACAGACAAGAGCAUCAGAUACGACGGGUACUCUGACGAGAUCCAGGUUGUCUUCAGGCUCGGCGUGCUCUGCACCGCCGAUAUGCCGUCGUCGCGGCCAACCAUGAACGACGUGCUGCAGAUCUUGGUCAAGUGCAGCGAGCAGACGUACCACAAGGGCAAGACGGAGCGUGGCCCAGAGUAUGAGGUGGCUCUUCUACCCAAACGCGGCAGUCGCCGGAAACAGCUUUCAAACGGCUCGGGGAUUUACAUCGAAGAGAAGAUGACAGCAUUGUCUGAAGAAAGGAACUGACCACUGCAUAUGCCAGUAAGCAGCUUGUGACAUCGUCAGUGAACUGCUUGCUAUAGUGAUACUUCACAUUUUAGCAGAGUACAGCGGAGAAUUAUGCCUCUAAUCUUUUUUUUUCUGAGGAGCUAAGUAUCUUUAUAUUAAAAAGAGAAUAUAAAUAGAAAAAAUCAGUCCAUUGGAAGCAACCACUCUAGCUCACCUAGGAGAAUAGAGAGAUUGCAUAAACAAGCGAAGAAAAAACCGUCACCAGACCUUGACCCUGCACGGCUGGACUAGGGACAUGCAUAGUAUAGAGCAGGGCUUGUGGUUAGCCAAACCGUUCUGUGUAUUGAUACUGCAAAUCUGUAUUAAAUCACACACACAUUAUACGUUCCGACAGAAGAACUAGCAAACAUUACGAUUAUACUCCCUCCGUUCUUAAAUAUAUAACGCUAUUGACUUUUUCAUUUGUUUGACUAUUCAUCUUUUCUACAAAUAUUUUUGCAAAUAGAUAAAUCUACGAGUUAAAUCUAAAGUACAUUUCACAAUAGUCAUAAUGAUACACAUUUUACUUUAGUUAACUAACUCAUUCAAUAGAUAUUGAUGGUCAAAGUUGGAGUAAAAAGCCAACAGCAUCAUAUAUUUAAGAAUGGAGGGAGUAAUUUAUUUCUGAAAUAAAGGCAGGAGAUGGAGCUCUGCUUAUCCAUUCAGAAAUUAGUACGAUUGAAUGAUUUUGUCUCCUUCCAGUUUUUAUUGUAAAACACAGAAUAUUACACGGAUAGGCACUGAUUGUUAUCCGGAAGAAAAUGAAUUUUUAUAUUUCAAAAGAAAAGGCCCAAUUUGCACCCUCUAGCUAGCACGAUAAUCCAAUUUUCAGCUAAACUGACCAUGGGCCGGCCCAAAGGCACAGGAAUUUGGCCCGGUCUAGGCAUGGCGGCCGUCGUGCUCGUGCUAACCCGACCCACACCAUGGGCCGUGCUUGGGCCGUUGCCUCAGCCCACGUACUGGUCCGGCACGGCCUGCCCAUUUGGCCCGUCGGGAUUAAGUGGGCGGCCCAUCCUAUUAAGGCCCACUCGACCGCAUAUAAAACCCCCCACCCCCAAACGGCCAAACCCUACCUUCCUCUUCGUGUCCCGCGCCCUUCGCCGCCGUCACCUCCCCCGCGCCCUUCGCCGCCUCUCGCGCCCGCCGGCCGCUCACGCCCUCCGCCGCUUCCCCCCGCCGCCUCCCUCACGCCCUCCGCCGCAUCCUCCCACCGCCUCCCUCGUGCCCUCCGCCACCUCCCGCGCCCGCCGGCCUCUCGCUCCCCUGCCACCUCCCCCGCGGCCCUCUGCCGCCUCCUACACCCGCCGGUCCCUUGCCGCAAUUGGGGAAGAUGGUGGCCUGCACGGCGGCGCGCGCAAACGUCCUGUCGUCCCUCGGCGGUGGGAGCUGCGGCACGAGUGGGCGCCUGGGCAGAUCCGGGAAAGGUCUAUGGGCGCCCUGACGACGAGGUGGUCGAAGUCAUCGGGGCUAUCGAACUCGACGACGACAGGCGCUACGGGCGUAUGAGCAGAGGAAGGGUGAAUUCUGUGCCGCAGGCUGGCACGAGCACGGUGAGGCCGUUAAGGCCUGCCAGGCCAGCGUGCCAGCACGGCCCACCUAAGAAGGCUGCGGGUCAUGCCUGGACCGCUCCUUCGGCACAUGGGCCGGCACGGCCUGGCACUAUUACCGUGCAAGCCUAACCGUGCCGGGCCUAACCGUGCCAGGCCAAAUCGUGCUCGUGCCAGGCCGGGUUGGGCUACCUGUUUGGCCAUCUAUACAUCCAACGGUUGAAACCAGAUAAAUUUUAUCCUUUAGCUGGUUUCAAAGAUGUUUUUUUGUUUUAUUAGACAUUUAAAAAAAAUCUGAUUUAAUCUUGUUGGGGGGAAAUAUUAACGAUCCCCUAAAUACCACUUAAAGGAGCAGACGCGAAGGCCCGGGCCCACCUAAGCAUAAUCAAAACUCCGCCUCGCCCGACCGCGGCCUCAGGGUCAGGAACGCCCGACCCCCCUCCACGAGGUUUCCGCCUCGUCCGACUGCGGCCCCAGGGUCGAAGGCGCCCGAUCCCUCGCCACAAGGUUCCGCCUCGUCCGACCCCAAGCGCAGGGGUCGGGCUCGCUGGGGCCCCCAGGGCAGGCAUCCCCCUCGGAUGUGGACCAGGUGGGCAAGAUAAACAAAUCUUGCGGGUCCCCCCCCCCAUCGGCCUCGUCAUAAAUGCGCUGCGGGCCUGGCAGAGGGAGGAAUGACCACGCUCCUCACACAACCCGCCGCAAGUACCCAUGCACGACCAUACUGUACAAGCUACAGCGCUGGCGGCUCACUCCCAUUCGCCGCAGGGUACUCAUGGCCUGCGCCGACCGGAGCGGAGGAGAGACUCGCCUGUCCUCGAGCCCCGCGCACCCUCGGGUCCCGUGCGCCUGGCAUCUAGGAUGUGACGCCCUCUCUCCAGGAGCCAUCAUCAGAAUGGCAGCAUCCACCGUCCUCCCCAACGGACACCGGGAUAACGACGAAACGCCCUCAUCAUAACCCGACGCCUACGGAUGCCGAAGGAGCUAUCUGUAGGGUGCAACGACAGUUGGCGCACGGCCGCCUCCCCCUCCGGCAUGCACGCCGGCGCUCGCCAGGAGCCGGCGGAGGCGUCGGGCGUCUAGGAACUUGUUCCUCCCAUCCUGCCGUAUUUUUUACCGUACUACGUUCACAUUUUACGGUCCUCUUCGCCCGAUCCCAACUGUAACUCUGGCCACUCCCCUUGCGAUAUAAAAGGAGGAACACAGGGCCGGAGGGGGGGAUCGGCUUCUUCCCCCUCAAGCCACAGCAUGCUAGUACGCUCCCUGAGAACAUAGGCUCAAAGAGACUUGGGACCAGUCCCUCUCUCGUCGGUCUGUAACCCCUACUACAGAACCCCGCGUGGGCAAUACGAGCAUCCACGAUACUGGACGUAGGGCUCCCUUUGCUCGAACCAGUCUAAUCCGUGUCUCCCACGCCACCAUCUGAGGCCUUACGCGCAUAAAAGAAAUUUACUAGUCUAAGUCUUGAUCCGCCAAUCUUGACAACGACAGUUGGCGCGCUAGGUAGGGGACCUUUGCGCAUACCCUCCCAGCCUCAGAUGGCCAAUUACGAUAGUAGCUUUGCUCCGGGCUCCCUGAUCCGAUUCGGGAGCCUGGACUUCCUCGCCACCGGGGAAGGGAUCAAGCUGAUCCCUGUCCUCAUCCUGCCCGCUCGCCCGCCUGCCCCCGGCCCCGCCGCCGGGACAGCGGUGAGCGGCCGCUCGCAUACCGGAAGGACCUCGCCAGGGGGACGGCCCUUCGGGCUACGCAAUGCCACGGGGGCCUACGGACGCCUCCUAGCGCGGUCCAUGACCGCGUCGCCCGCGAGCAACGAGCUCGUAGGUGCGACAAGGACGAUCUCCGACACCGGCUCCAGCAGCGGGAGCCCCCACCCCUCGCGUGAGUGCCUCGUGGUCGACGAGCACUCUGAGGGAUCCAACAGCAACGAUGCCGAGGAGAGACAAAGGGCUGCCCCUCGCGCGCCGCGGCUAUGACCGGAGCCUUACCAAGGGCACCAGAGUGCUCUCAGCAACGAGAGGCGCGCGCGGGCGCCCGCCAAGAAGUCGAGCACCCCCACCACGAGGGAGGAGCGCGACAACGGGCGCGAGACGUCCAGCGACGCAUCUGCGCGGAUGAAGAGCGUCCGCAGCUUUUCGCCCGCGCCAGCCAAAACGUCGCAGCCGCGGCGGUGUUGCUCCGACAGCUCCCCGAACCAGCGAUGCCCGAGGAGCGACGGGCACGCCAAGAGAUGCGCGACCUGCUCGAAUGCGCCGCCGUCCAGCAGGCGGAAAGCUCCGCGUCCCGGCGACGCGGGCAGAAUGCCAGCAGGGCGACGCCCGACGCGCCCCCGGAAAGGCGGGGGGAAUCAGUCCAUCUACCCCCUCCUGGGGCGAAUCAGGCCGCGUCCGCCCGACGGACUCCACCACCCGCGGGAGGCGAGGCUCGAUCCGUCCACCAGCGCGUCGGCCUCGUCCGCGACGCCCGCGACACCCUAAACGCGCGGAGACGCUCCCGCGCGGACAGGGAGGACGGGGUAGAUCGAGGCUACCACGUCCACCGUGGCGGGCGCUACGACAGCGGGGAAGACCGCAGCCUGAGCCCCGGUCCGGCUGGGCCCCGGGCCUUCUGUGCGCGCAUCCUGAACGCGCCUUUUCCGCCGCGCUUCAGGCAACCCAUGAGUAUAGCCAAAUACUCAGGGGAGACGAAUCCUGGAGUGUGGCUCAGCGAUUACCGGCUUGCAUGUCAAGCCGGCGGGGCGGAUGAUGACCUGUUUAUCAUCCGCAACCUACCCCUCUUCCUAGCCGACUCAACGCGAGCUUGGCUAGAACAUAUCCCUUCGGGACGAGUUCGCAACUGGAAUGACCUGAAGGAGGUUUUCAUAGGGAACUUCCAGGGCACGUACACACGCCCCGACAAUUCCUGGGACCUCCGGAGCUGUCGUCAGGGGGCGGACGAGUCCCUCCGAGAUUAUAGCCGGCGCUUCUCCAGGAAGCGCACCGAGCUCUCCAACGUCGCGGACGCCGAUGUCAUAGGAGCUUUCCUAGCAGGAACCUCCUGCCGGCCCCUCGUCCACGAGCUGGGGUGCCGAGGCCCGCGAACCACGGAGGAGCUCCUCAAUAUCGCCACUAGUUACGCCUCGGGCGAAGAGGCCGUUGGAGCAAUCUUCGACCGCUCCAAAGGCAAGGCGAAACGGGAGGAGGUUGCUGGCGAAGGCACCUCCAACCGCCAGCAGAAGAAGAAGGGCAAGUUACGGCGCGAGGCCCCCCUCGUGGCCGCAGCUGAGCGCAAGCGAGGGCCGCCGCCCCCCGAGGGCGCUCCCGGCUUCUUCGACAAGUUGCUUGAGGGACCGUGCCCGAACCACGAGUUCCCCGUGAAGCACGCCUACAAAGACUGCAACCUCAUGAAGAGAUACUUCAUGGGCAAUUCGGUGAAAGGCGACCGGAAGCGGAAGCCCGAUGAGGAAAAGAAGGGCGACGAAGAGAAGGAAGACGGCUUCCCCAAGGUGGACGGCUGCUUCAUGAUCUUCGGGGGCUCUGCGGCAUACGACACCAAGCGCCAGUAGAAGCUGGAGCGCCGGGAGGUCUACGCGGCCGAGCCAGCGACUCCGGCCUUCCUGGACUGGUCAGGGCCGGCCAUCACCUUCGACAGGACCGACCACCCUGGACGCGUCCGGCACCCGGGGCGUUACCCUCUCGUCGUCGACCCCAUCGUCGGCACGACGCGCCUCACCAAGGUGCUCAUGGACGGAGGCAGCAGCCUCAACAUCCUCUACGCCGAGACCCUCGACGCUAUGGGGAUCGACCGUUCCCGCCUCCAUCCCAGCAAGGCGCAUUUCCAUGGCGUCGUGCCAGGGAAGCAGGCGAUGCCUCUCGGGCAAAUCGACCUGCGCGUUACGUUCGGGACCCCUUCCAACUACAGGAAGGAGGUCCUCACAUUCGAGGUGGUGGGGUUCCGCGGAACCUACCACGCCAUCUUGGGACGGCCUUGCUACGCAAAGUUCAUGGCUAUCCCCAACUACACCUACCUCAAGCUCAAGCUGCCGGGGCCCAACGGGGUCAUCACCGUCGGCACGACCUUUCAGAAGGCGUACGAGUGCGACGUAGAGUGCUGCGAGUACGCCGCGGCCAUCACCGUCACGAGCGAUUCGGCAGUCCAGCUUGCGGAGGCCACCGAGGACCGGCCCGACUCCAGGCAGCCGAACAUCUCCUUCGAGCCCGCUGAAGGUAUCAAGGAGGUCCCCCUUGAUCCCGGUUGUUCCAACGGAGGAGUCGUGCGGAUCAGCGCGGCCCUAUCCCCCAAAUAGGAAAGCGCGCUCGUUGACUUCCUCCGCGCGAACAGCGACGUCUUCGCGUGGAAGCCAUCGGACAUGCCAGGCAUUCCGAGGGAAGUCGCCGAGCACUCCUUGAACAUCAGGGCCGGUUCCAAGCCAGUAAAGCAAGGAUUGCGCCGUUUCGACGAGGAAAGGCGCAAGGCCAUCGGCGAAGAGCUCCAGAAGCUUCUGGCGGCCGGGUUCAUCAAGGAAGUGCACCACCCCGAGUGGCUAGCUAAUCCUGUCCUUGUACCAAAAAAGAAUGGGAAAUGGAGGAUGUGUGUCGAUUAUAACGGUCUCAACAAAGCGUGUCCAAAGGACCCGUUUCCUUUGCCACGCAUAGAUCAAAUAGUCGACUCAACUGCCGGGUGCGAGACCCUCAGCUUCCUCGACGCAUAUUCCGGCUACCAUCAGAUCGCGAUGAAAGAGGCCGACCAGCUCGCUACCUCCUUCAUCACCCCCUUCGGUCCCUACUGCUACGUUAAGAUGCCAUUCGGCCUCAAAAACGUGGGGGCUACCUUCCAGCGAUGCAUGCUGUAGUGCUUCGGAGACCUCAUUGGGCGGACCGUUGAGGCCUACGUUGACGACAUCGUCGUAAAAUCCCGGAGGGGCGACCAGCUCGUUCCCGUCCUUGAACUAGCCUUCGAGAGGCUGAGGGAUAAGCGUAUUAAGCUCAAUCCCAAGAAAUGUGUGUUCGGAGUCCCAAGGGGCAUGCUGUUAGGCUUCAUCGUCUCCGUGCGCGUCAUCGAAGCAAACCCGGAGAAGAUAGCGGCCAUUAGAGACAUGGGGCCGAUCCGGAACAUAAAGGGAGUUCAGCGCAUCAUGGGAUGCUUGGCAGCUCUAAGCCGCUUCAUCUCGCGCCUCGGCGAGCGAGGGCUUCCUUUCUAUCGGCUCCUGAAGAAGACUGACCGUUUCGAAUGGACCAGCGAGGCCCAGGAGGCACUUGACCGACUCAAGGACCUCCUGACGAAGGCCCCGAUCCUAGUCCCGCCUACCGACGGCGAGUCCCUCCUGCUCUACGUCGCGGCGACCACCCAGGUGGUUAGCGCGGCCUUGGUGGUGGAACGAGAAGAGGAAGGACACGCUCUCAAGGUGCAACGCCCGGUGUAUUUCAUCAGCGAAGUCUUGUCCGAGUCCAAGACACGUUACCCGCAGAUCCAGAAGCUCGUCUACGCCAUCCUUAUCACAAAGAGGAAGCUGCGCCACUACUUCACCUCCCACCCGGUAACAGUCAUUUCGUCAUUCCCGUUAGGCGAAGUAAUCCGGAACCCAAAUGCUACAGGGAGAAUCGCGAAGUGGGCGCUUGAGCUCAUGGACCAGGGUAUCACCUACGUCCCCCGCACCGCCAUCAAGUCCUAGGCACUCGCCGACUUCGUGGCAGAGUGGACGGAGAUUCAAACGCCAUCGGCGCCAGAGAAGCAGGAGUAUUGGACAAUGUACUUCGACGGGUCACUGAUGAGGGCCCGCGCCGGAGCGGGUCUCGUUUUCGUCUCUCCCUUGGGCAUGCGCAUCAGGUACAUGAUCCACCUUCAUUUUCCUGCAUCUAAUAAUGUCGCCGAGUACGAAGCCCUCCUCAACGGACUCCGCAUCGCCAUCGAGCUGGGCAUCCGUCGGCUGGACAUCCGGGGCGAUUCCCAGUUGGUCGUCGAACAAGUCAUGAAGGAGUGGAGCUGCCACGACCCCAAAAUGGCAGCCUACUGCAACGAGGUCCGUAAGCUCGAAGACAAAUUCGACGAGCUAGAGCUCAACCACGUCGCAAGGCGCUUCAACGAAGCCGCCGACGAGCUGGCGAAGGCGGCAUCCGAAUGAAUGCUCGUCCCCGACGGCGUCUUCGUUAGCGACCAGUUGAAGCCCUCAAUCCGUUACCCAGAACUGCAGGGGUCGGCGAAGCACCCCCGGCCCUGGGAUCGGGACCCGAGUCAGGGGAGGUCGGCAGCGCGCCACCUGUCCGAGACCCGAGCACCAGCCCCGAGGGGGUCGACAACGCUUUGCCCAACUCGGCCCCGGGAGCCGAUCCGUCCGACCCCGGGGUCAUGGAAAUCACGGCAGAUUCCGCGGCGGGUGCCGACCCCCCGAUCGAUUGGAGAGCCCCAUACAUCGACUACCUCGUCCGCGACACGCUCCCGGCAGACAAAACGGAGGCCCGUAGGAUCGCGCGCCGCGCCAAAUCCUUCGCCAUCAUCGACCAGGAGCUCUACAAGAAAAGCCACACUGGAAUCCUCCAGCGCUGCAUCUCGAUCGAACAGGGAAAGGCGCUGAUCAAGGAUAUCCACGCCGGAGCCUGUGGUCACCACGCCGCGCCAAGGACCCUCGUUGGUAACGCCUUCCGACAAGGUUUUUACUGGCCGACCGCGGUCGCGGACGCUACCCAGGUAGUCCGCACCUGUGAAGGAUGCCAGUUCUUUGCCCGCCAGACUCACCUGCCCGCGCAGGCGUUGCAGACCAUCCCCAUCACGUGGCCAUUUGCGGUUUGGGGGCUAGAUCUCGUCGGACCCUUCAAGAAGGCACCCGGGGGCUUCACCCAUCUGCUCGUCGCCAUCGACAAGUUCUCCAAAUGGAUCGAGGCAAGACCGGUGGCGCAAAUCAGGUCCGAGCAGGUGGUCCAGUUCUUCACCGACAUCAUCCACCGCUUCGGGAUCCCGAAUUCCAUCAUCACCGACAACGGCACACAGUUCACUGGGAAGAGAUUCCUCCAGUUCUGCGACGACCACCACAUCCGAGUGGAUUGGGCGGCCGUGGCACACCCCCGCACGAACGGGAAAGUCGAGCGAGCCAAUGGCAUGAUACUCCAGGGUCUCAAGCCAUGGAUCUUCGACCGCCUUAAAAAAUUCGACGGACGGUGGGUUGCGGAGCUUCCCGCAGUCCUUUGGAGCCUGAGGACGACCCCCAGCCGGGCGACGGGCUUCACCCCGUUCUUCAUGAUCUACGGGUCAGAGGCCAUUUUGCCCACCGAUCUAGAGUACAGAUCGCCAAGGGUCAAGGCAUACGACGAACAGGGAAACCAGGCAUCAUUCGAGGACGCGCAAGAUCAACUCGAUGAAGCGCGAGACGUAGCUCUACUGCACUCGGCUAAGUACCAGCAGGCCCUACGGCGUUACCACAGCCGCAAGGUGCAAGGCUGAGCCUUCAACGUCGACGACUUGGUGCUCCGCCUCGUCCAAGACAACAGGGGUCGGCACAAGUUGACUCCCCCAUGGGAAGGCCCGUUCAUCGUCGUACAAGUUCUACGGCUGGGCACCUACAAGCUGGCAACUCCCGACGGGCAGGUUUUCAGCAACGCCUGGAACAUAGAACAGCUAAGGUGCUUUUACCCAUAGCUUUUAUUUCCAAGCCCUGCAUAAAACUUGUCUUCAAUUCCGAUAUUUCCUUUAAGCUCAGGGGUAUCCGACCCUGGCCUCGUUCCAGGGCCGCAUACCCCUCGGGGGCUACCAGUUUUGCUCCUCUGCGAAAAAAAAGAAACCCCGAGCCGUCUCGGUUCAGGCCUUUUCCUUUAAGCUCAGGGGUAUCCGACCCUAGCCUCGCUCCAGGAUCGCAUACCCCUCGGGGGCUAUCAGAGGUUCCGACCCCAGCCGCUCGGCCCUAUCUAAAAGAAACAUUUUUUCUUUUCAAACCGAACACUCCCUUUCUAGACCUUUGGGCGCAAAAAAGAGAAGGAUGCGCGAACGGUGCUCAGGCAAGUUUGAUCGGACUGCGAAAAAACCUACGCCCCAGCGGCUACGGCACCUUCGCUCAUCAAAACUUAAUGACGCACCCGACAACGCAUUCUAAACUUUCAAGCCCAAAGGAACAGCAAAGGGGAUCGGGAUCUUUCGCACAACGAAGUCAUAAACAAGCCUGUAUGGCCAUCACAAAAUAAGUUCGAAACUAACAUAAUUACAUUUUGGGCACAAGCCCGGUACAGUUAACUUGACGAGGGGUCGGCAGGAGGGAUGACCUCAUCUUCCAGGAGCUUCGCGAGGGCCUCCGCCGGCGCGGACACCGCUGCAUCAAUCCCGUCCAGCUCAGCUUCGGUGUAAUCAGCGGCGUACCCUUCACUCAUCCCGGCAAAGUUGAUGCCAGAAUAAUGGGAGCCGAAGACCCCGAAGGCUCGCCGCAUGCCGACGUGAAGCGCGUCCAUGGCGAUCUCGCGACGUCGACGGCGUACCCCAAGGACACGAGCCGGCAGAGAGCUCGACCCCUCCUCCGGAACUACGCCAAAGUCGUCACAGACGACGCGGACCGCAUCCCGCAAGGCGCCGUGCUCGCCGUGCUCCGCGUCGAGCAAACCCUUCAGCUUGGCGAUUUCGCCUGCAGGAACCACCCAGAAAAGCCCACCAAGUCAAGAACAGAACACAAAAUGUCACGGGAACGCGGGAACGGAAAAAAAAAGCCUCACCGUCGGCCCAGGCCUUCAACUCGCGCUCCCGGUCGGCUCCUUGAGACACGGCGGACUGGAGUCCCUGCACUUGCGAGCGAAGGCGACCAGUCUCCGCGCUAAGGGCUUCACGCUCCCCCCUCAGCUGUGCAAGCUCCCCGGCAUCACGACGGGCCCUCUCAGCGGCAGCUUGAAGCUCCUCGGCGUCGCGGCGGACCCUCUCAGCGACAGCUUGGAACUCCUCGUGGUCGAGGCGGGCUUUCUCGAUGACGGCUUGGAGCUUGGCCUCCGAUCACCGCGCCUCCUCCAACGCCGCCCCCUCACGCCUUUGCAGGUCCCGAAUGACCCCCUGGGCGGCAGUGACUUGCAGGGACAGGUCCCUGGUGCGCUCCCUCUCCGCGUUGAAGCGCUCCCAGAGACCCUGCUGCAGCCGAAGGAAAUCAGAUUUCCCCCGACUGCCCUCUUGGAGGGCCUGCAAAGCAACGUGCCAUUAGAAAAAAAAAAGCAAAAGGGAGGUGCUGAUCACCAACAGUAGGAGCAACAUACCUGGCUGCCAGGGAGGACGGUGUUACCCAGAACCCCCAACGCCGAAGACAGAGCCGCCUCAACGUGGGCAAGGCCGCCCUGCAUCGCCUGCCACUUGUGCCACUCAGUGGCGUCGUCCAGCGUGAAGAGAUGCCUCGGCGGGUCAUCGCGGGAUGACCAGCGAAGGACAGACCCCCUCCACGCCCUGGGAACGGAGGGAGCCGAGGCCGAGGCAGGGGCCGAUCCUGACGCUGCCGUCAAGGUCGGCACCAUUGCACUAGAAGCCGCCGAGUUUACUGACGGCCCCGGCACCUGCACGCUCGUCGCCGCCGAGGCCGCCGGCGGUAUCCCAGUGGGCCCCUCCGCCUCCGCCGCCGGAGCCACUCCCGCGGGGGUAAUUGGGGCGGAGGCCCCCGCCUCCGUCACCGUUGCCUCCGCCGCCGCGCUUUCGGGGGCAGGCGUUCCCUCCGCCACCGAUCCCGCCGCGGCUGCGGGGGCAUCCGCCCUACCUCCCGUCGCCGCCGUCUCCUCUGCCUCGUCGGCGUCGAAGUCGAUCACCUUCCCGGCCUGAGAACCCGGGGGGAUCGUGCCCUGCGCUGUAGGGGCGACUGGGGGGACCGAAGGCGGAGUAGGGUCCGCUCCCCCUCCCACGGCUGACACCGCCGUCGCUCCGCCGGCCGCCACCACAGGGGCCGCCUCCGCGGAGGGGUCCGCGGCCUCACCAGGGACCCCGCCGCUCGCCGCGGGCGGGACCGCGGUCCGCCCCCCAGAGGAGGUUGACAACCGCAACGCCUUCUUAGGCACCAGCUGCAGGGCAAGGCCACGAGGGGCGGCGCUGCAUAUCGACAAACAGACGUCAGCACAAACGAGCGUGAGAAGAGGAGAGGAACGAGGCGCAAGGAAGGCCAACUUACGUCCUUGAAGCACAAGGGCGGCGCGCGCGCUUCGACUCAGAGCCCGACGCCGACCCCGGGGCAUCUGGCAGCGGCCGCUUGUCGCCACUUCGCUGCUCUCCAGUCGCGGGCACGGCGGUGGAGGCAGUCUCUGCAGAUCUCCGAGGAGCACCCUGAGCGGACUCCUGGGGAGCGCCCCGCGCCGGCUCUGAAGUGGCGGCGGGGGCAGGCUCCGAGGACCCCCGAGGGGCGCUCCGCGCCAGCUUUGGGAAGGAGCCCCGUGUCGACCCCUGGGGGGCACCCUUCACCGACCCCUGGGGAGCGUCCCGCGCCCGCUCCUGGGAGGCACCCCGCGCCGGCCCCUGGGGGGCGUUCCGCGUCGACUCCUGGGGGGCGUCUCGUGCCGGCUCCGAAGCGGCGGCGGGGGCAGGCUCCGAAGACCCCCGAGGGGCGCUCCGUAUCGACCCCUGGGGGGCACCCCUUGCCGACCCCUGGGGAGCGUCCCGCGCUCGCUCUUGGGACACGCCCCGCGUCGGCCCCUGGGGGGCGUCCCGCGUCGUCUCCUGGGGACACGCUGUACUGGCCCCUGGGGCGCAGCCCCAGGGCCUGGUGGAGCCGAAGCCCGGGCGGGCGCCUCCUCCACUUCACCUCCCGCGGCCGUCCGCGGGGGUGCCUCACGAAUGGCGAGGGCGCCCGAUCGGAAGGAGGAAAUCAGCUCCUCCUCAUCAUCAUCUUCCUCAUCUUCAUCCUCUUCAUCAUCGUCGUCAUCAUCGUCGUCGUCGUCAUCGAACACGACCGACCCCCUCCGCCGCCGUUGGAACUCCUUAGCGGCCUUCUUCCUCUUCUUCGCCAUCUCGAUGUCCUUCCGGCGCUUCUGCGCCUCGGCGAGGAGACGGUUGUGCGUCCGCCGCUCAACAUCUUCCGGCACCGGCGGGAGCGAGUGCGCGACCCGGGUUAGCGGACCCUACAAACGCAAAGCAGCUCCACGUCAGAGUGACAAUCGCAAGACACGAAGAAAGGAGGAGGACGCCCCAACUCCUUACCAGAUCUAUGAGCCCGCAUCCGGGCGCAUCGGCGGGUGCCCGGGAAUCGGGUACUCGACGUCCUUGUCCUCCAGCGCCUCCCGAAUCCGUUGCCGGAUCUCGGAAGCGACGAGCGCACCCGUCGCCAAGGCGGUGCCCUCGGUCGGCGCGUCGGGGGUCAUGGCGGCAAGCGGUCGGAUUCAGAGCAUCAGUGGCGCCACCCGUCGGGUGUGGUACGCUCCGAUGACCCCGGCGCCGGUGAGCCCGUCCCGCUUCAGCCGCUCGAUGGCCUGCAGCAGGUCGAAGAACCGCUUCUUGUCCUUCUCCACUGGCCCGUACGCCCACACCUCCGGCGCCGCGUCGAUGGUACGGCCGGUGAAAGCCGGCAGGGGGGAGUUCGGGUAGUUCUUCACAUAGAACCACUGGUUGUGCCACCCCUUGUGGGACGCCGAGGUCUUCAUCGUCAUGUUCUCCUUGGAGCGGGUAUGACGAAGGUGGAUCCCGGCGCACCCGAUCGGCACCGGAGGUGACCGCUGCUGGCUCCCUCGCUUCUCCGUCUUCUGGUACAGGCUCACUGUGAAAAAGUAUUUCCACAGCGAGAAGUGGGGCUCAAUGCCUAGGAAUCCCUCGCACAGGGCGACGAACGCCGCAAUGUGCUGGAUCCCAUUGGGUUUGAGGUGCUGGAGCUCGAGCCCAUAGUAGUGGAGGAGCCCCCGAAAGAAGCGGCUCGAGGGAGAGGCGAACCCCCGCUCAUGGAAGUGAGCGAAGGAGACGAUGUAGCCAGAGAGAGGCUCCGGCACCUGCUCCGGGCCCGACAGCAACCACUCAGCCGCCUCCGUCUUCUCGCAGAGGAGGCCUUUUCGCACCAGGCCCUCGGCGCGCGAGGAGGUGAAAUGGGAGAUCCCCCAGGAACCCAUCGCCGGAGGAGGGAGAUCAACGGAGGUGAGAAGAAAGGGCACGGCUUGGAGCAAAGGAAACGAAGCGGGCACGGACAAACUGAACGCUAGGCUGGAGGGCGGAAAGGCUCGAAUGCAGAAGGCGGGCGGAACCGGCGCGGCGGGCUCCCGUUUUUAUAGGAAAGGUACGGGAGAAGCCAAAUCGACGCCCCGGCCGCCAUAAAUGCGGCGCCAGGUACGCCCCUGCCACGCCCGUUUCCUUUUCGAAAACCGCGCGCACGGCCGGCCGCGAAAACAUCCUAUCCUCCUCGAUUCGCGGGAUGGCGCUUCCCAUAACUCCACCUCCCGGAAGGCACGACGUCCCCCACGUUCGGCCCAGACGUCACGACCGCUCCGUUCUGGCCCAAGGCCCACCGAAAGGUAAGAAAGGGAUACGGGGCUGAAAACGCCCCUACGGCCCAUUACGGUCCAGAGGUUCGAAGGCUGGCCCACCGCGGGAUCGACAGCUGCCUCAGGAUAUCUCCCGAGCAAGGGGUGAGAAGGGACGGGUCCACUAGCGGCCAACACCCAGGCAAGCGAAAGCCAAGGGCGUCCCGACCUCACGUUCGAGUCCCGUCCGGUAUAAAGUUCAUGGUUUUUCCACGGGGAAAGGCAACGAGCCCCCGGAUUCGGCCGAACGGACCCGGGAACUAUAUGAACUGGCCGGCGGGAAAUUGUAGUACGCCACCAGCUUGGCCCGAGCCGGACCCCCCCGAACGGGGACCGGGACUCCACUCGAACCUACCUGUUCGCAGCUCAAAGCGAGCACCACGGUUCGUCCAACUAGGAUAACGUGGCACGGCUCAACCCCUCCGUCCUAGCGAACGGACGCUUGAGGGGCAACGACCAAAAGUCGACCUGGCCUCCCGACCGGUCUCCCGCAACGAGCAGGGGCUCGGGGGCUAGCAUCGCAACCAACGACCAUGCGUAUGGUCACGAUUCCCAGGCUCCCCGGCCAAACCGGGAUGAAGCAAGCGCACCAUAAACAAAAUCCACGGAGAAACGGCGAAAGAAGCCUCCGGAGGAGCACUUUUUGCUCCACCACAGGCUCGGGGGCUACUGUUGGGGGGAAAUAUUAACGAUCCCCUAAAUACCGCUUAAAGGAGCAGACGCGAAGGCCCGGGCCCACCUAAGCAUAAUCAAAACUCCGCCUCGCCCGACCGCGGCCUCAGGGUCAGGAACGCCCGACUCCCCUCCACGAGGUUUCCGCCUCGUCCGACUACGGCCCCAGGGUCGGAGGCGCCCGACCCCUCGCCACAAGGUUCCGCCUCGUCCGACCCCAAGCGCAAGGGUCGGGCUCGCUGGGGCCCCCAGGGCAGGCAUCCCCCUCGGAUGCGGACCAGGUGGGCAAGGUAAACAAAUGCUGCGGGUCCCUCCCCCGUCGGGCUCAUCAUAAAUGCGCCGCAGGCCUGGCAGAGGGAGGAAUGACCGUGCUCCUCACACAACCCGCCGCAAGUACCCAUGCACGACCAUACUCUACAAGCUACAGCGCUGGCGGCUCACUCCCAUUCGCCGCAGGGUACUCAUGGCCUGCGCCGACCGGAGCGGAGGAGAGACUCGCCUGUCCUCGGGCCCCGCGCACCCUCGGGUCCCGUGCGCCUGGCAGCUAGGAUGUGACGCCCUCUCUCCAGGAGCCAUCAUCAGAACGGCAGCAUCCACCGUCCUCCCCAACGGACACCGGGAUAACGACGAAACGCCCUCAUCAUAACCCGACGCCGACGGAUGCCGAAGGAGCUAUCUGUAGGGUGCGACGACAGUUGGCGCACGGCCGCCUCCCCCUCCGGCAUGCACGCCGGCGCUCGCCAGGAGCCGGCGGAGGCGUCGGGCGUCUAGGAACUUGUUCCUCCCAUCCUGCCGUAUUUUUUACCGUACUACGUUCACAUUUUACGGUCCUCUUCGCCCGAUCCCAACUGUAACUCUGGCCACUCCCCUUGCGAUAUAAAAGGAGGAAGACAGGGCCGGAGGGGGGAUCGGCUUCUUCCCCCUCAAGCCACAGCACGCUAGUACGCUCCCUGAGAACAUAGGCACAAAGAGACUUGGGACCAGUCCCUCUCUCGUCGGUCUGUAACCCCUACUACAGAACUCCGCGUGGGUAAUACGAGCAUUCACGAUACUGGACGUAGGGCUCCCUUUGCCCGAACCAGUCUAAUUCGUGUCUCCCACGCCACCAUCUGAGGCCUUACGCGCAUAAAAGAAAUUUACUAGUCUAAGUCUUGAUCCGCCAAUCUUGACAACGACAAAUCUAAAAAUCCAUAACUAAUUAAUUUUAAAUCAUAAAAGUUUGAAACUAUUACCCAUCAUCUUUUUCUAGAAUGUUACCUUUUAUGUUGGUUUUUUUGAGUUAUUUGCAUAUUAUUGUCCCCAUCUCUAGUGUUUUAUUGCUUGUAGUCAAACCUACUAUUUAUUUAUUGUUGUUUUGCAUUGUAUGAUUAUUGGAUGCUAUGCGAUACAAAGAUAAUUGUUCAACAACCAUAUGCAUCAUGAAGAAAUUUCCGGAUACGAUUGAUAUUAGUACAUUAUUAACUUCUUAUCAAGAAAUAUCAAUGAAGUGUUUUAUAUGAAUAUUUUUAAUGCACCUUGAGUUUUUGGAUAACCUUUUUCAUAAAAGUUAAUUAGAUGCAUUCUUAACUAAAUAAGCCAUUUGGUAAUUUUUCAAAAAUGUUUAUUUAGGUAACAGAAAAUUUAUUUAUUUAUUCUGGAAAAAGUUUUUUUUUAACGAAGUUAGCAAGGAAAGCACCUACCUAUUCUUUAAUUGUUAUUUUAGAUCCGUUUAAUUCGCUCCCACGAGAAGUUGAAUAUAGACCUGCAGGAUGUUACUCAGGUGCUCUAACCACUAGACUAGAGUCCCUUUCGCUUCUGAAAAAGGUUUUACAAAAAUCUUUUCCCUAUUAUCUUUUGUUAAGUCUGGGAUGUUGCCGCACGUGGGAAAGAAAGAACGGGAAACAUAGACCGAGACCGCUGCUGCGCCGCCACCAUGCUUCGCCGUUGGAGGGUUAGGGUUCGGGGUUUCGGGUUAUGGGUCAUCGAUGGCGCGGCUAUCUCCGAUGUGGCUGGGAUAUAUGGGAGGUUGACGGUGGCUAGGUAGCAGGCGGUGGUGGCGGGUUGUGUGCGGGAUGGCGGGACACCACCAGUUCCGAUUUGUGGAAGACAAUAGGUGGCCUCUAGAGGCAGCGGGGGAAUCUUGGUGAGCUUCCCGCGCGGGGCUGGGUUAGGGCGGCGAAGGAUGGUGGCGGUGGAUGUGGCAGCGCGAGCCGCCGGAGAUGAUGGAGGAUGGCGGCGCGGGCGCGAGCAAAGGAGGACAGUGCGAUGGUGAUCGAGGGUUGCGACCGGCGACGCCGGAUGCAGUGGCGAGAGCCGUCGGAGCUAGAGGAGGAGGGCAGCGCGGGGGCAUGGGCGUGCGCGCUCCUGGGCUGCCAUCACUGAAGGUGACAUUGGUGAUUUUUGUCACCUUCUGUGAUAUAUAGAUAUAGACAUGCUCUAGAUAGAGGACUCCUUGGAGAGACCCCGAGAAUGGAGAUGGGCAUUUGGAGCUCUUCCAAAAUAAGGAAUCUAGAGGACUUGCUAGAAUGCAUUUUUUUUGACUUGGUCCAUUGGAGUUGUUCUAAGCCAACAACUAUUAGCAUCCUUUUAGAUAACUCUGUUAAUCUGAAAUACAACAGUUUCCUACUUUAUGUAUAAUGAGUGUCAUUGCGUCACUACGUACGAGGUCUACUUUAUGGCGGAUCUGAAGGUGUGUUUGGUUGGGAUGUGGCUUUUGGAAAAGCUACUGUGAGCUGUGGGCUGUGAAAAAGUAGCGGGGAGAAAGCAGCUGUGGGAAAAGCAGAAGACCGUUUGGUUAGAGCAGCUACGAAACUGUAGGUUGUGUAAGAAAUACCUGUAAUGCCCCUAAAGGUCUGCGGGUGUGUUUACAUGCAAAUUGCUCAUAACAAAAUAAUGUGUUCACUAAUUCACAUGUAAAUGACUAUUUUAGAAAGGAAAAAAAAUAAAUUUUAUAUGUUCUUCAUCCAUAUAAGUGAUUGGUCCACAUAAAUAGAACAAUAUCCAUCAAAAGGUUUAUACAAUGAUGUCAUCUCUCAACAUUACUGUCCUCCUCUCGCACUAACCAAAGCAUCAACUAUCCUAGCAUGAAUGAUAUUCAUGGUAUCCUCAUUCUCCAUAUCGUCACUCUCAUCUCCUUGUGUUUGUCUCGUGCCACUUGUAUAUUGUACCAAGUACUCCUACAAAACCGAGUUAGUAAGGUACAUAAUAAUACACGUAUUUCUAACUUGAUGAAGGAAUCAUGUAUACCUUUAGGAGGCACGAGAAAUAUGUCUCAAAGCAUUGUCGAGAAAAUUGAAAGAAAAGAUGAUGAACAAAGGAGGGUCAAUUCUUGUUGCUCUUUGGACUAGAGGAUUGACGAUGAUCAUUGCAGUCCUAACAAUUCUCUUGUUGCAGAACAGAGUAGCAACUUCUGAGUAGCAUAUGAUUCUUACAUCUUCCAGGCGAGGUGGCUAGUGUGCUGGAUGAAGUUGAGGUCCCUUGGCAACCUGGCAAACGCCUCCGUCAUGUCUGCAGGCAAAAUUUCCAAAAAAAACAAGAAGAUUUCAACACCACCAACAAAGCAAGCAUGUAAUCACCUGAUUAAUCAAUCAGCAAACAAUUCACAACUAGCAAUCUGUAGAAAUUAGCACGCCAUUACCGUCCUGGGUGAUGAGCGGGUAGUCGGAUGCGUUGAGGUUGACGAACCAGUCCCAGCGGCGGUGAAGGCGGAGCAGCAACGCGACGGCGUGCAGCGUGGUGGUGAGCAUGGUGGGGCCCCGGUAGGUGACGAGGUUGGGCCUGCCGACGAUCCACACGUUGCCCGCGAUCGCGUACACACCCCACCUGGACAUGAGCUCUGCCAGCCGGCAGUGCUCCUCCCCUGGACCGCAGGUAGUUGUUGGCCGGGUGGUACAGUGCCGCCAGCAGCCGCAUCGUGCGGCCCACUUCCCCUGAGGAUGCCGAGAUAAGGUAUGCGAACGAGAUCGGGUACCGCGGCGCCUCGCCGGCGGCACCGUCGAAGGCGGCCAACGAUGAGAGUGUUGACGUCGGUUUUUGACACGUGUCAGGGUCGACGUCAAGAGGAGAAGAAAGUGGCUGAUGCGGUUAAACAAGAAGCUAUGGCUAGAGAAAUCAGUCAGUAAAGCUAUAGUGUUUCAGCCGAUUAGCUAAUGAGAUAGAUGAAGACUGGCCGAUUGGAAGCUAGAAAAGCUCGGCCGAUAUGGGCCUAAAUGGGCCAAGGUGGUAACAAGAUGAAGAUAGGAUUGGCCCAUAGAGGAUUGGAUGGUGUUCGACUCCGAUACAAGUUGUAUCCGUAUGUAAAUAUUUGUUGCUUUGAAUAAGAAAUAGAAUAUUGAGUCAUAGUCGGUUAGGAAACGAGUUGUAACAGGGUAUAAAUAGGUGCCCCGUGAGGCUGGCAAAAACAUCAACAAACAUCAAUACAAAUCUACUUUUUCAUGCAACUUUACUUUCAUGUCGGCGACUUUGCCAAACCCUUUUCUUUUCACGAGUUCGUGUGAGUUGGCAGGGCUGCAUCAACGUGAUCUCCGAGCAAUUUGUAAGUUCCGCGUUUCGAGUAAUAUAUAAGCUUUAACUUUGGGCGUAUCGCUGUUGUUUUGUUUAGAUUUAUUCACUAGUUAUCGAUAUUUGCUAGAAUUAUAGGUUUUAUUCUCCGGUGGAAAGAUUGUGCCUUUGCCUGUAUUUCUCUUGCACUAAACUCAGGCGAUACCUAUUAUCGGCGGAAUGUGUGGUCGCGUGUAAAGUUGAUGUUGUCAAGUAUAUGUUAUCACUGCCGAUCUUGAAGGGAAGGAUUGGAAAAUGUAUUCUGGCACUCUCAGAAUUCGAUCUCAGGUACGAAUCGGCCAAGGCCGUCAAGGGUCAGGUAAGGCUGAUUUCGUCACCCAACACUGUGGAUCAGAAAUUACUGUCGUUGAGCCGGCUCCAUGGACUCUGUACUUCGAUGGAUAUUCGUGUGGGAUUGGAUCAGGAAUCGACAUAAUUCUUAUAUCGCCUCGGGGGGCAAGUUAUGAGUUCUCUCUGCCGAUUGAGGCUUCCGCUACUAAUAAUCAAGCAGAAAAUCGGGCUGUCUUAAAGGGCAUCCAAUUAUUGAGGGAGGUCAAGGCUGACGUGGUAGAAAUAUUUGGGGAUUCCAUGAUUAUCGUGGAUCAGUUGAUUGCAAAGUGUGAGUGCAAGGAUGAUAUUCUAAGGAUUUAUUAUGAGGAAUGCCUCCGGUUGCUCAAAGAAUUCAAGACCGUAACUAUUGAACAUAUCCCUAGGGAUUACAAUGAGGAAGCCAAUAGACUUGCCCAGCACGCUUCUGGCUACUGGCCGAUUCAUGGCGCUUUCGCUCUAGAGCUGGCGGCCGACAACUGGAGGAAGGAGAUCGCCGAUUAUUUAAAGGAUCCAUCCAAGAAAGUUGAUCGGCAGAUACGCUUCCAAGCCACAAAGUAUGUGUUACUUGAAGAUGAAUUGUUUUAUCGGACGAUUGAUGGAGUGUUUCUCAAGUGCCUUAGCAUUGAGGAAGCAAAGAUUUUGAUGGGUGAGAUUCAUGAAGGUCUAUGUGGGACCCAUCAAUCGGCUUUCAAGAUGAAGUCGAUGAUUAGAAACAAUGGGUAUUACUAGCUGACAGUACUUGAAGAUUGUUUCAAAUAUUAUAAAGGCUGUCAGGAUUGUCAAAAAUUUGGCAACGUGCAACGAGCCCCGGCCUCGGCUAUGAACCCGAUAUUAAAGCUGUGGCCAUUUAGAGGCUGGGUAAUUGAUCUCAUCGGUUAGAUCUAUCUGCCGUCAAGCAAAGGGCAUAAGUUCAUAUUGGUGGCGAUUGACUACUUCACCAAGUGGGUUGAGGCGGUUCCUUUGAAUGUUGUGAUGUCGGCCAACAUGAUCGAAUUCAUGAAGGAGCACAUCAUUUAUCGAUUUGGUAUUCCUCAGACCAUCAUGAUUGAUCAGGGGUCAAUGUUUACCUCAGGGAGUUCGAGGAGUUCACUGCCAGUAUGGGAUUAAGCUGUUGAAUUCUUCUCCGUAUUACGCUCAGGCCAAUGGUGUGACGACCCCGGUUAAAUCUUUCGAGUUAAUCUUAAUACGAGCCCCAAAAUUCCUCUGUCUCAGUUUUUCCCGAGCAGGAGUGCUCCACUCCAGUUCCUGUUCCUGACCCGUGAAGACUCUAACUCACCCCGCCAGUUCCUUUUAAGUCUCAACAACAGUGUCCCUUUCAAUCUUGAACAGAGGAAAGACCGAGACUGACGGAUGGACCCGCAAUCUUUUCCCCGGAUCUCCCGAGGCAUACGCACUCGAGCGGCCUGCACCGCUUCAGAGCUCCCCCGCCGCGUGGCUCAACUUCUCCGACGCCCGCCGCUUCACCCAAUCGCCGGCCGGGACAGGAUAGAUUCUCACGCCCUCCUCCCCAAUCGCAGCGGAAGCCCCUCUGCAACCCUUUCUGCUGCGCCUCGUCUCGCUCGCGCCCUCGCCGGCCGCGCCUUGGUGCUCCGACACCGCUGUGGCAGAGCUUUGCCGCUUGCUGCAUCCAAACUACCUCGCAGCUCACGCCCGUCAUCAUCUCACUGGAUCCCCGACUGCAAGGCCCGAUGCCUUCCGACUUUUCCACCGCCUCUACACAGUCGCGCUCGCCUGCGCAGCCGCAGCCUGCCUAUCUUUUCACCGGUUGCAACCUCGCUUGUAGCGCCGUUCUCCCUGUCACACCCAUCAGAUCCGCCGCAUGACGACGCCCGCCUCCGCCAAACCUCAACUACCGGCAAAACCGCGCCUGCGCCGCCUUGUCUCCCGUGCCCAAUAGCCAAGGACCCUAUCUCCGAAAUCCUGUUCCGCCGCCCAUCGACGCCCAGUCGCCGCCAUGGCAGCGCACUCCAUCCUUUUCUUCCGGUCUUCGUGCUACUCCAACUCCCUCUCUCUUUCGCGCAGCUAUAAAAAGGAAUGCCAGAGCCCUACUGGAGAUCCCUUCACCAUCGUUGCCUCGCCGCCUUGUUCCUGAGCGCCGCCACCUAAGUUCUUGAGGAACUCUCAUCUUCGCUCAACACCCGCCCCUCCCAAUCCACCAAGCCGCCUGCUCCUCCACGCUAUGCUAGAGCUUCCUUGUUGCUCACAAGAAGCUCCGCCGCCGCCGGAGCACCGCCGGACAUAGCCGCCACCAAAGCCUUAGUGCUUAAGACCUUCCGCCCAAGUCUACUCCUUCCCGACCCCAAAGCUUCACCUAUAAACCAAAGGUAAGCUGCCGACCCCUUACCGGUUCGCCCGACCCUACCUGUUCGCCUGACCCUACCUGUUCGCCCGACCCCUCUUUCCAUCUCGCCCGACCCUGUCUGUUAGCCGGCCCUUAUCUUCUUCGCCCGAGGACUCGGCUGUACUCUUUUCCUUGACCCGAGGGUAUCUGUGUAAGAUUUCGGGGACUUCUCUGUAAUAGCUUUGAGGACCCCAAACACAUUAAGGCUUAUGGGUCAGAUCAUAAGUUCUUCCAAUUCGACCCUUGGUCUUGUUCUCUAUCCACUGAAGCUUGAACCCCCACACUCUUUCCGUAGCUUUGCUACAAGUUUCUGGGCUAAGACUUGCGAGUGUUGCUGUUGAAAUAACCGUCUAGACACUAACUCCAGCAUUGCAUUCGUGUAGAGUUUCAUCUUGCUGACGGCGUCUACGAACUACACCCGGUGCCAGAAGACGGAGCUGUAGCUGAGCUACCAGUUCCAGAAGCCGAAGUCGCACCAGCUGAAGACCCGCUUCCCUCCCCUCCACUUGAAGGCAAGUCCCGGAGCAUGAACCCCAAAGUUUCCCAAACUUGCGCAUGCCUUCUUUCUCAUGUUUGUGCAUUUACGUAUAGGAGUUGUUUGCAACCUUAGAUGCAUGGUAUAGUUCCUUGAUCGGAACACUAGUUGUUGAAUCGAGUAGUUGCUAUGCUUAAAUAGGAAGUGGUAAAAGUCGAGUGAUUUCCUGUCACUCGCGAGUUAUAGGAGUUGGUUGUUCUCCUUCUGUUACAACUAUAAGGACGAUGGAUGGGGCAAGGUUUUGGUUAACUCUUUUGCUAGUCGGCUGAUCCCCCCGUCUGUCUAUGGAAUCUGUUAAGGCCCGAUAGUGGUGGUGUUCGUGAUCAAGUGUUUGAAAGUACUAAUCUCAUACCUAGUAUGGGAUGGGGAAGCCUAGUACCUGAUUGAACUAGGGCGUGGCUUAUACCCCUGCUGUCCCUGGAACGAGGUUCCCAUGGUGCAUCAUGUGGGUGCAAGUGCGGUCACAGUACGGUAGAGGCCGGGAUUGUGGAGCAUUGCAUGCCAAGGGAAGUUGGACCUGACACGUGCCUGGGAAUUGAUGGGGACGGCUGACACAGGAAGCGACCCUUGUGGUGCGCGGAUGUCGUGAGAUUAGGUUUGCCAUGCAUGGUUAAGAAACUCGAAGGAUUCGUCUGCCUCUCACAGUUUGAGACUGCUUGAUCGCUAUGCUACACUGAUUAAUGAAAGAGUCUGAUGAUGACAUGGUCUUGAUGAGUAGCUUAUAUACAUAAAGUUGGAUCUAUGUUUGCUUAGAGUAAGAUGCCAACGUAGACUGGUUAAUGAACUUAGAAUUUGAGCUAAAACUUGAAAGCAAGGACCUAACGUAGUAGCUUUUGGCAAACAAAACCCCUCAGCCAAAGAGCCUUGCAUGUCUAGACGUGGUGGAGUAGUUUUACCACCGGUCGGUUAAGUCUUGCUGAGCGUAGCAGCUCAACCUUGUUUGUGGCUUUCUUUUCAGGUGAAGUCGCAGCUCCUGAGUUUGCUUCCGUUGGCACUUGGCCGCCCCAGCUCCCUCCGGGUUGGACGGUUGAGUGGGAUCCUUCCUCGGACGGUGAGGAGAGGGAUCAUUGAUGUCCUGAUCGGCCUCAUUAGGGACAUCCGACCCUGGCGCUAGCUUCCGCUAAUUUAGCUUUCCGCUGCUUUUGAAUCUUGUAAAACUCUGAUUUUUGUUUUUAUGUUGAACUAAAUUGUCAAACUUGUUUAACUCAGUGGAUCUGUUGUAUUCUCUGAAACCGCUCACCUUCGUGUGAGUUUCGCUAAUCCGGUCCUGUAAGUGGUUUAAUCGGAGGAAAUCCGACGGCCCUUCGAGUUAACUUGACUAAGGCAUAAGUGUCGCGUGUCAGGCGACUUAACAAUGCUUUAAUCAAGGUAAUCCGAGGUGGUUCCACCACAAAUGGUCAGGCCAAGUCAUCAAAUAAGGGGGUUAUUAAACUGAUUAAAAGGAAGGUCAAAAAACAACCAAGACGGUGGCAUACAACGCCGAAUGAGUCCUUAUGGGCUUAUCGGAUGGCUUGCCGCGGUGCCACCAAGGUGUCCCCUUAUCAGUUAGUAUAUGUGCAUGAAGCAGUAUUACCUUGGGAGUUGAAGACUGGGUCUAGACGUGUGUCACUUCAGAAUCAGUUGUCGGUUGAUGACUAUUCCGCCCUCAUGAGGGGAGAAUUGGAAGAUUUGGCGAAUCAACAGCUAAGGGCUUUGAUCAGCAUUGAGGAAAAUAAGAAAAGAGUCACCAGGUGGUAUGACAAGAAGGUCAAGGUCAAAAGGUUUUCCCAAGGGGAUUUAGUCUGGAAGUUGGUUCUGCUGAUAGUAUGGAAAAUGGUCGCCCACUUGGGAAAGGCCAUAACGGAUUAGCCAAUGUGCUCUAGGCAAUGCAUACAUACUGGAGACUUUUGAGGAAGAAGAAUUUACAAGGGCCUUGAAUGGAAGAUAUUUGAAAAGAUACUACCCUAGUAUAUGUGUAGGCGCUUAGCCGAUGAUGUGGCAUAACGGGCUUUCACGGUCGACGCGUACUGAUUCGUGUUCAUAUAGCCGAUGCAAGGGGCAUCGCCUUAAGAUUGAAAGAGGCGAAAUAGUGUAUAUAUAACUAAACCGAUCAUUAUUCGGUACACCAACUAAAUAUAUGGCCGGCAUGAUACAAGUCGCCCUUAGAUAAAAAGUACCGACACAGUUAUGGGUUACAACGAUUUAACAACGUUUCAUGUGAGCUUUAUUCAUAUCGAUUUCUUUCUGAAGUCGAUCCAAUUCGAUCUGGAGUCGGGCGUUCUUCUCCUCUAGUUCUGCCAUGUCAUCUUCAACAGCAACUUGACAGGGUAACAGAUGGCUUCUUUCGACUGAUUGCCGUGGUUGCCUUCUAGAAGCUUUAGCCUCGAUGUCAUCCACAAUCCUCUUGAUAUUCACGGGGAGGUGAUCUCUGAGUUCCUCACGAUGAGUUUGGAUCAGGUCUUUGUCAGCCUGAGUGAGCGGUUCAUCGGAGUGGAGGAUCUCAAUGGCUCGUUCAAGAUCACGGCUGAGUCGGUUUGGCUACGAGAAGAAUUGAUGAUCAAUUGACAGAGGGAUUGGUCGAGAGAUAGGAGAUUGACUUCGUACCUGAUUGACAGAGGAGGAGGAGGCCAUCUUGGUCGCUCGAUCGAAGAUUUGUAAGCGCGCGCAAGGAAUGGUUGAGUGGGUGUUUUGCGAAUGCCUUCAGAAGGGAUGCGAAGGGUUUGUACUUAUAGAACAGAAUGGCAAUGGACAAAGGUCGGUAAAAGGAGGGCAUUUAAAGAAAGCGACCGUUGAGUCAUAAAAGCUACGUGAGGACUGUUCAGACUUGCAUUUCAGACAAAAACGCCAAAAGUAUCAACGUUACACAAGAUGUUCAAAGGCUGGUUGAGUUCGUUACAACUAUCCGAGGAGAUUGUUUAUGGUCUCAAUCGCUCGCAGGCGAACUUGGUUGGCCACCUCCAACACUCGCCGAUCAUCAUCGGCUGAUCCUAAGACUUCUGGCGCAUUGCGAUGAAGAUGGAUGGCCUCGUGAGUGAGGGAUUGUCUUUCUUGUUUAAAAUCAACGAUGGCGGUUGGAAGAUCUUCAAGUUUCUUUUCUUCGGUAGCGAUAGCCUUUACGACCAGUUCCAUCUCCUUGGUGAGCUCUGCUCUGCGCCAUUUGAGUUGGUCUAUUUCACUGAUGAUGCUUGGAUGAGAAGUCUCAUGGAGACCGAUCUACCGAUGUACGUGUUGUGCACGGUGCUUGUAGGACUCUUCUUCUUGACGCACCAUCUCCAAUUUAGCACGGUCAGCCAUGUGUCGCAAGGCUCUAAACACCGGGACCCGCAUGGUUUCGAUAUAUGCUGCGGGUGUGAGAACCUCUUCUGCGUCUUCUGGGACUUGGCCUUUGAUCUCGUUGAAAAUCCACCGUAUCAGUUUGGCAUCUUCCACCAAUCGACCGAUGUUUUCCUGAAGAAGGGUUCGCAUGUUUUGGAGCUUGGCACGGACAUCUUCUGGUAUUGAGCUCAGAGUUAUUUGGCGUGAUGCAACUUCUUCGUCAUCAGAGACCGCAAUUGCAGAGGAGAAGAGGCUUUUGUUUGGCGUGUCUUACUCCUGCAGGGAUGUGGGAAAGUGUUUUAGCCGAUAAAAGUAAAAAAUCGGCUGGUAGAUAUAGAAGGUUCUUACCUCCUUCAAACAAAUCUCUUCUGCUUGGGUUGGCAGAGUCGUUACUCCCACCUCAGAAGUUUGCGGAGGUAGCUCAUUAGAGGGGGAAGACUUGACAAUGAUCGGCUCUCUAGGCGUAGCUGAUAAUGUGCUUGGACCAGCCUCCUGGAAAAGGAACAAAGGAAUCAUUUUUGAGUAUAAAAUAAUACUGGAUCUAAGUAGAAGUCUCGGUUUUCUUACCUCUCGGACGCGCGCAGCCAACGGUAGCACCAGGGGAAUGACUGACGUAUCUGGAGCGUCCUGUGUCAAGAAUCGUCUGAUUUUAGUUAUCAGAACUGUGGAGACUAAGGGAAGAGCAUGUUCUUUACCUCAAUUUGAAGAUUUGUAGGUAACACAAUUUUAGCUUGAGAAUCGGCCAAUUAAGGAACAGUCUGCUCUAGGAUAGGUUGUACGGCCUGUUGAAAAGAAACAAAUUUAGUAUUGGUGAUACAUAUGAAGAAGUCAGAGCAGAAAGAUUACUCGUGUAGCUUUCACCAAGAGUAACACAAUCGCCGACCCAGCCUCUGAUGCUGCUAGGGGAUCAAUGUCCUGAAUUGCCGACAAUACAUCUGCUUGGAUUGGUGCGGCUGAGGGCUCGACCGAUGUUGCUGCCGAUUGGUGGGUUGUUCGAGUUGUCGUAGAUUCAGUACGAGCUCAUACCCUGCGACUCGUCUUCUUUGUGGUGGAUAUUUUGAGCUUAUGCUUCAAUCGGUUGGUGGCUAUGUCCUCCAUUGAUGGGGCGUGAUAGCCGAUGAGAGGGUACGGUGUGUACGGAUGAUGGGUCUGUAUCAGUCUGCCACUCUAACUGUGCGUUGGAGGCACUUGGCUAUCAACCUGUGCAGGGUAAAAGGAUAAUGAUAAGAAAGUUCUGCAACAUGUGAAAAUUAUUGGUAAGGAAUCGACAAAAAAGUAUUGUUACCUCUGCAUUCGGAUCAGUGUGAGCGGGGUCCAGUUGAUUGCAAUACACUGCAGGGGCCGCACAGGAAAGGUACUGUUUCCACUCGGCCCACCACAAUUUGAAUUGUUGAGUGGAGAAGGGGACCACCAGCCAAGCGCUCAGAUCGAUGGUGUCGGAAUCCGGUGUCAGAUUACACAAUCUGUUGUAUUCCAGUCCUUUUGAAAUCGGUUCUCAAAAUUUCACUCGGCCGACGAAGUGAAUCCGAUUGGUAUUUGUCCCAAGCCAAAUUGCCGAGCUGCUACCGACGGGUUAUAGAACUCAUAUGUUGGAGAGUCCUUGCCAGAGAAGAAAUUUGCCGGUAGAAUCCCAGGUUGAUCAGGGUGUCCAUGAUUCCUUCAUCGAAGGUAUCGGUAGCCUAGUCAAAACAGUCAGGAUUCUAAAAAGUUGGGUUCUCUCUCUGAUAUGGAUACCAAUUCGUCACCUCUUCUUUAAAGCUGUUGUAAAAGCAUCUAAAGUGCUCGGCUAUUCUUGAGGGGGCAAGCUUGCCGCCUGGGAAAGUGGAUACGGCUUCACUAAAGGAAGUACAGCGGCGUCUGGCCAAUGGGUCGGUUUCUGAUUUAACAUUAGGAAAGUCUUGGUCUCAAUCCGCUCCUUGAAGAUUUCGCUCAUAUAUAAGUUGAGCUAGAGAUUGACAAACCACCAAGGACCACCAGGAUUCCUGAUAGGUUCUCCAGAUGAUAGCUUCACGCCGAUGUGAUGCAGCAUGUAAUACACUGACCCUAGUAGAUGCUUUCCCAAAGGGACUGUGGCUCCUCUAACUAGUGCUUCGGCCAAAGCCUGUGUGUUGGAAGUAGGACUGGCUAAUUUACCACAGAAGACAUACCUUUCCUGCCACAUCAUCAAGAAGGUCGUGUGCUCUUUUUCUGUGUUGGGUCCGGUCCUCAUGUUCUUCUCAAUGUAGCCUUUCCAUGUGCUGAUGGCUUUCGUCUCCAGCCGAUGGGUGGGUUUGAUUAAGAAAUCGAAAGGUGAGUCGGUGGAGGAAACAUCGAGGCCAGUCAGCAUCAGAACAUCGGCCAGGGUUGGAGUCAUUGGCCCAUGGUCGAAAAGAAAUGCAUUGAGAGCAUCGGACCAAAAGUAAGAUGCCGCGAUGAGCAGAGAUUCUUUCUUUUCCAUAUGAGAUAGAGAUAAAUUUCUGCAAUGGCCGAUUUUUCGCUCAUCCCAGAAGACUCUGUUGGAAUUUGACAUUCUAAAAAACCAAUCUCUCCAUCCGGGGGUUUGAUUCGGCCAAGACUUGAAAGUGUUCGCCCAAUUGUCUAGUUCCAUGGUCGAUUGCUUAAAAGGGAUCCUGUGAGUUUCUAGUUUAAUCAGAUCGGUUGGGUUAGGAUCUCCCAUAGAGCCAAGAUCGAUGAAUCCAGGGGUGUUGGCCAUGGGAUGGUGAUUCUUUGCCUGAGUUCUUGAGCAAAUGCGAAGAAAGACUAAGAACAGAUCUAAAAUCGCGAAAAGAUGAGGAGAGCCUAGAAGACUUACCUCAGGAACGAAGGUCAUGGUAGCUAUGGGUGCCACCAUUGGAGCUUGGGAGUUGGUGCGGUCGGUGAAGGACGUGAGCAAGUCACUGGAGUGCGCUGGGAUGUGCCUAGAAGUGGCACGAGCAAGGUCGCUGGGGUGUGCCGGGAGAUGAUUCGCUGGAAAGGAAACCCUUUUCGCCCGGAGGAAGAUGAAGCGGCGGAAGAGAUGAGUAUCUGCACGAUGACUCGGGAGAAGGGUAAAUAUGAAAUUUUUACCACGCCGUCUGCGCUAAUUUCGAAAGGAGCGGUUGCCUACAGGUGCUCAGUUCGAAAAAAUGCAAUCAUCAAGGAGAAGAUUUCGGGAGCAAAGAGGGUUUUGCUGCAUUUAUUGUUGCGUCUUUUCUGAAAGAAGGAAUCAGAGUUGAGAAAAUUUCGGAGAAAAAGAUAUGUUUCACUAUGAAGCUGGGAGGCAUGUGUUGAUGCCAGUUUUUAACACGUGUCAGGGUCGGUGUCAAGAGGAGAAGAAAGUGGCCAAUGCGGUUAAACAAGAGGCCAUGGCUAGAGAAAUCGGUCAGUAAAGCUAUAGUGUUCUGACCGAUUAGCUGAUGAGAUAGAUGAAGACUCACCGAUUGGAAGCCAGAACGCUGGAUUUUGACACGUACUUGAAAUCGGUGUCAAAGAAGGAGAAAGGGGGGCCGAUGCGGCGGACUAGAAGCUACAGUUGGGAAUCGGCCGAUUGAAGCUACAAUGUUUCAGCCGAUUGGCGGAAGAAAUUGGUGGAGGCUGGCCGAUUGGGAGUCAAAGCAGUUUGGCCGGUUUGGGCCUAAGGUGGGCCAGGAUGAAUAUUUGCUGAAGAGACAGGCCCGUGGGAAAAUAAUAACCAACUCGAAUACGAGUCGUGUUUGUAACUAUUUGUUGUCGUUUGAAAUUAGAGAUAGAUUCUAGUCGGUUAGGAAAUCAGUUCCAACACGCUAUAACUAGCUACCUCGAGAGGCUUGUAAAAAAAACAACACAUCAAUCAAUACAAAAAAAAUUACUCUUUCCUCGUACUUUACUUUCAAGUCGGCGACUUCGCCAAAACCUUUUUCUUUCACGAGUUCGUACGGAUUGGCAGGGCUGGAUCUACAGGAUCUCCGGCCGAUUCUGUAAGUUCCACUUAUCGAGUAAUACUAAGCUUUAACUUCGGGCGCAUCGCUGUUAUUUUGUUUAGAUUUAUUCACCAGUUAUCGAUAUCAACUAGAGUCAUAGGUUUUACCUGUUAUUUUAGUUUUUAUCACCAAUUAUCCAUCUUGAGGUACGAACUGUCGGUUUUUAUUAUUCUUAUCCUUUAUCAUCACAUAGCCGAUUAGAUCUACUCCAAGUUUUGCUUCUGUAGUGUUGUUUAGGUUGCUGUAAAAGUUUUCCUUAUGAUUGCUACAUGAGUAUCGGCUGUCUUAUAGCCGGUCAUCUCUACGGUAAAUCGGCCGAUUCGCUGAUACGCUCUUCAAGACAGAUCGGAACUCUAGCCGAUCGAAACCCCUAGAAUUUAAUAUUCUUCUUUCCAUGUCAAUCAUUAGGUCAGAUUGACUGGCAUGCCGCGCGAACCGCACUAGGGCAAUAACUCGAACAGGAGCUAAGUAGAUUCUCCUGGGUCGUGUGUCCGACGCUGAGGGUCAUCGGCCAAUUUUCAGCACCAACACACUUUUGGCAUGCCCGGUGGGACCAAACAAGAUCCAACAUGUCGAAGGCUGCUGAGAUCUUUGAAGAUAACGUCCUUGAAGUCAUUGAAGAAAAUCUCAAGGACGAUCAGAAGGAGGAACUGGCGAGGGCUAUAGAAGAAUACAGGAAGACAUGCCUGCAAUCUUUCAUUCGUACCAGAAGCGGGGAGACAGUCAAGAAAGCUCCUCUCUCCACUUCCCGCCAAAUCACCGUCAUCGAGGACUCAGGGAAGAUGUCUGAGAUGAUUCAACAGUCCGUUUAUCAGGCUAUGAUUGACCAAUCCACGGUGAUGACCAACACUGUAUACAACGCCAUCAUCAGCUCCUUGGUUAGCGGCGUAGCUCAGGGGUAUCAGGGACUAGCGUAUGCUCCUCCCAUCGUGGCACCGAUCAGAGGCUUCUUAGCAGCGCCAAACGUGUGUCACUCGACUCCUCAACUAAUGCAGAUGCAACGUGGAGGGUACUACACUUCAAUGCCCCUGGGGUACAAUGGUGCAUCAUUCUAUCAAUCGCAAGAACCGUCUCAUCCUAUGCCAAUUUCAUCCAUACAAUCGCCGCUCUCAAACUCGGCGCCAUGGGGGGUAGCAGCAGCAACCGCCGGUCUGGAUCCGUCAACCAGUUAUGGAAAGUCUCCAGUCCAGGCGUUAUUCCAAUCGGCCGAGGCCGAUAGCCCCGCAAUACCAAACAACCACUUCAGAUAUCGGCAGGAGGACAGGCGCUCUAGAAACACUCAGGGUUGCGGCGUCGAUAAUAUUGUACGAUGAAGUGACAGAUACACUAUGUCAGCAGCCAUCGGCUACUCAGCCGACAACCCAGCCACAAUAUCUGCAGAACACUCCAGUUUAUCACCCGAUCAUGGAACCGCAAAUCCAACAGCACGUACCGAUUCCUCAGCCGGUCGUGCAUCAGCAGCAGGUUGAUUGGACCGCGAAGAUAGCAGAGGUAAUUCAAGAUCAGUUUGUGUUAAAAGCAAAAGUACAAACUUACAUGUACAAGACGCCAUACCCACUUGCCUACGAUCUGUUACCGUUCCCUCAUCGGUACAAAGUCCUUGACUUCACCAAGUUCUCGGGCCUAGACGACACGUUGACUGUCGAGCACGUUAAUAGGUUCAUCAUCCAGUGCAGGGAGGCUGCUACGCAAGAUGCUUUGAUGGUGCGCUUGUUCUCGUCAUCCCUAUCCGGAUCAGCCUUGCAGUGGUUCACUACACUGCCGCCCAACGCCAUCGUUACCUUGGCCGAUUUGGAAAAGCAAUUCCAUAAGUACUUCUAUGCGGGAAUCCACGAGAUGAAACUCUCAGACCUAACUAGCCUCAAGCAAAGAAGCGAUGAGUCGAUGGCCAGCUACAUACAGAGGUUUAGGAAAGUUAGGAACAAGUGCUACACCUUGGUCUGGACUGACACCCAACUAGCCGAUAUCACCUUCCAAGGACUCCUGCCACACAUCAAAGAGAAGUACGCCUCCCAGGAGUUCGAAAGCUUGAGCCAAAUCGUCCAUCGGCUGUCCGGCCAAGAGAUACACCCUUUCGACCAACGAAGGAACUUUCAAAAGAAGGUAGCUUAUGUGGAAGGGUCUGAAUCGGGAGAGAAGGCGGAAAUCGGCCUAGCAGAGUCGGUAAAAGGAAAAAAGCCGAUAUCAUGCCCGUUUGGAAAAAAGGAACCAGAAACAUUCGGCUUUGACACGUCAAAAGCCGACAAAGUCUUCGACUUGCUGCUUCAAGAGGGGCAGAUCAAACUUUCGCCUUACCACACCAUUCCGUCGGCCAAGCAGCUCAAAAAGAUGAAAUACUGCAAAUGGCACAAUACCACAUCCCAAGACAAAAAUGAGUGCAAGAUCUUCCGACAAUAGAUACAAUUAGCCAUUGAGCAAGGAAGACUCAAGUUCGAGGUUCCAGCAAAACCAGUGAAGCCGAUGAAGAUUGAUCAACAUCCCUUCCCCGCCAACAUGGUCAAUGUAGGAAGAAACGCACUCCAAACCAAAGUUUUGAUGUUAGAAUUGGCCAGGAGAAGCGGUGCAGUGGAUCCCAAAAAUCAGGCCACGAUCGGAGAUGUCAAAGGAAAAGGACGGAUGGAAGAAGAAGGUGAAGGAUCAGAAAGGCCACGUCGGCCUGUCACUUCCCAAGACUUACUCAGCAAGUAUCAGCAGCAGCGGGAAGAUUCAAGACGCCACGAAGAGAUGAUGCGCCGACACGAAGAUCACUGGAGGUGCCCGUUUUUCAUCCACUGCUGGGAGAAUAACCUUAGAUUACCGUCGGCUGAUAAUUGCCCUGAGUGCAACGGCCAGUAUCGCAGUGGUCGUCCGUUCAAUAGAUCACGCUCCAAGGAUCGAGGGCUAGAGCCAAUCAGCAGAAAGAGGCACGAGCAAGGAGAUCGGCGCGUUUCAGUGCGUGAUCGGCUGGGGGGUAGAGUUGACCAGCAUAAUCGGCUGGGGGGCAGAACCAGCGCACAUGAUCGGCUGGGGGGUAGAACCAGCGCACAUGAUCGGCUGGAAGAGAUAGCUGACGCCAAAGUCUCAGAUGAGAACCUCCUAGGGUGAGAAUCAGGCUGGGAGCGUGCAAAGCCGCCGAGUAAACCAGUAAACCCCAGAUGGUGCCCAGCCGGUUUGACUAAGUCCUUGAAACGGAGGGUCCAGCGUUUGCACCAAUGGGAGCAGCAAGAAGAAAAACAAAGGUAGGUGAUGGAUAACAAAGGGGACAGGUCUCGAGUAUGGCGUCCUAGAAGAAAAUCCGACGCAGGAGACUAAAAUCAUGAUUCGACAGCUGACUUCAGCAUGAUGUUCAUCUUGCCGAUGGAGUUCAUGCCUCCCGCCGACCGGGACAAUGCGAUAGAGAUAGAGGAGCAAAUGGCACAAUUGGCUCUGGAGCCAAUGACCGCCACUUUUGAGAAACCCGAGGAUUAAAAACGCCAACAUCUCAAGGCCCUGUUCCUCAAAGGACAUGUCAACGGACGACCAGUCACCAAGCUGUUGGUAGAUGGAGGCGCUGCUGUGAACAUCAUGCCCUAUGCUAUGUUCCGCAAAUUGGGCAAAGGUAAAGAAGAUCUAACAAAGACGGAUAUAAUGCUCAAGGAUUUCGAAGGCAACGUAUCUCCGGCCCGAGGGGCACUCUGCGUCGACCUCACCAUCGGGAGUAAGGCCCUACCCACUAUUUUCUUUGUUAUUAAUGGCAAAGGCUCCUACAACAUGUUGCUCGAGCGAGAUUGGAUCCACGCAAACUGCUGCAUCCUGUCUACGAUGCACCAAUGCCUUGUCCAAUGUGUCGGCGACAACAUCGAAGUAGUCAUCGCCGAUUCCACCUAUAGCGUUGCCACGGCCGACGCACAACAGUGGAGCUACGAUCACGUCAAAUUCAAAUAUGGUAGGGUUUGGGACACCAAUUUCCUAAAGGUGUCCGAUUUCGGUCUACAGCCAAUCCAAGCAGUCAGCUCUAAAGAAUCAAGUUAAAAUGGAUCAGUUCAUCUGAGAAGAUGGGAAGCUCGGGCACGGGUUUACGUCGGCCGAUUCAUUGGAGAUGGUGGACCUUGGAGAUGGCAACAAGCCAAAGCCGACGUAUAUUCGUGCUAGGUUAGAACCCGAGUAUAAGCAUGAAUUAAUGAGUCUUUUACGAGAAUUUAAAGAUUGCUUUGCUUGGGAGUAUCAUGAGAUGCCUGGUCUAGACCGGUCCAUCGUCGAACACCGGUUGCCUAUAAAACCAGGGCAUUGGCCGCAUCAGCAACCUGCACGACGUUGUAAUCCUAAAAUUUUACCUGAUAUAAAGGCCGAGAUUACAAGAUUAAUUGAAGCAGGGUUUAUUCGGCAAUGUCGCUAUGCCGAGUGGAUUUCCAAUAUUGUGCCCGUAUACAAGAAAAAUGGAAAGUUACGUGUGUGCAUUGACUUCAGGAAUGUUAAUCAGGCUAUGUCGAUGGAUGGAUAUCCGAUGCCGAUGGCUGAUGUUUUAAUAGACGCCACCGCAGGACACAAAGUCAUCACCUUCAUGGAUGGUAAUGCUGGGUACAAUCAGAUAUUAAUAGUCGAAUAAGAUAUUUCAAAGACGGCUUUCAGAUGCCCAGGCCACCUCGGUUUGUUCGAGUGGGUAGUAAUGAGUUUCGGUUUAAAAAAUGCUGGAGCUACGUACCAACGGGCUAUGAAUUAUAUAUUCCACAAGCUUAUUUGUGUCCUGGUGGAGAUCUACAUUGACGAUGUCGUGGUCAAAUCAAAAGGGUAUCAGGAACACCUGGCCGAUUUGCGAAAAGUGUUGGAAUGCACAAGAAAGCAUGGGUUGAAGAUGAAUCCAAACAAAGUGUGCCUUCGGCGUUUCGGCUGGACAGUUUCUGGGAUUCAUGAUUCACGAGCGAGGCAUCGAGAUCAAGCGAAAAAUUAUAGUUGCUAUCAACAAAGUCGUGGGCCCCCAGAAUAAGACUGAGCUACAGUACUUAAUCAGCAAGGUUAACUUCAUCCGACGGUUCAUAUCUAACUUGUUCGGGCGUAUUCAAGCUUUCACCCCUUUGUUGAAAUUAAAACCCGAUCAAGAAUUUGUAUAGGGUAAGGAAUAGCAGAAAACAUUAGAUGGCAUCAAACAAUACCUAGUCUCGCCACCAGUAUUGGUUCCGCCGCAGGCCAACAAGCCAUUCAAAUUAUACCUAUUGGCUGAUGAACGAGCUAUUGGGUUGGCGCUGGUCCAGGAAUGUGAAGGAAAAUAAAGAGUAAUCUAUUAUGUCAACAGAAGACUCCUGAACGUUGAAACUAGAUAUCCUCCGGUGGAACGGCUGUGCCUUUGUCUAUAUUUUUCAUGCACCAAACUCAGGCACUAUCUGUUAUCGGCAGAGUGCAUAGUCGUUUGCAAAGAUGAUGUGGUCAAGUACAUGUUGUCAUUGCCGAUUUUGAAAGGGAGGAUUGGAAAGUGGAUUCUAGCUCUCUCAGAGUUCGACCUGAGGUACGAAUCGGCCAAAGCUGUCAAGGGGCAAGUAAUGGCCGAUUUCGUGAUCCAGCACUGUGGACCAGAAAUUACUGUCGAACCAGCUCCGUGGACACUAUACUUUGAUGGGUCUGCGUGUGGGGCCGGAUCGGGAAUCGGCAUCAUCCUCAUAUCGUCUCGAGGGGCAAGUUAUGAUUUCUCUCUGCCGUUUGAGGCGUCCGCUACUAAUAAUCAAGCGGAGUAUCGGGUUGUUCUAAAAGGUAUCCAAUUAUUAAGAGAGGUCAAAGCUGACGUGAUGGAAAUUUUUGAGGAUUCCAUGCUCAUUGUAGAUCAAUUAACUGGAAAGUCUGAAUGCAAGGAUGAUAUCUUGAGGAUUUACUACGAAGAUUGCCUCAAGUUAUUGAAGGAGUUCAAGUCUUUGAUUAUUGAGCAUAUUCCCAGGAAUUACAACGAAGAAGCCAAUAGACUUGCCCAACAUCCUUCCGGGUAUCGGCUGUGUUGACGCCAGAUUUUGACACGAGUAAAAUCGGCGUUAGAAGUGGAAGAAAUUAGGAGAUGCGGCGAGAUACAAGGGCAACGAUUGGAAAUCGGCCGAUUGGUGCUACAGUCAAGGAUCGGUUGGUUGGUGCUGCAGUCAAGGAUCGGCCAAUAGAUGCUACAGACGAGGAUCGGCCGAUUGAUCCUUAGAGUUCCGCCUCGCACGACCCCUGGUUUGGGAUCGGACACGCCCGACCCUCCAAGGGAGGAUCUCCGCCUCGCCCGACCCCUGGUUUGGGAUCGGACGCGCCCGACCCUCCAAGGGAGGAUCUCCGCCUCGCCCGACCCCUGAGGUUUGGGAUCGAACGCGCCCGACCCUCCAAAGGAGGAUCUCCGCCUCGUCCGACCUUAGUUCCCAGGGUCGAAAUGAGUCUGAGCCCUCGAUAUGUGGGUCCUGAUCGGUUACCCCCCUUGCCAAAGAGGUGAUCGGCCGAUUAGGAGGUUGGAAUAGUUGGGCCGAUGUGGGCUCAAGAAGGAUUAUGAAGAUGAAGAGGGGGUCAGCCCAUGAAGCGCGUGAAAAUAGUACGAAUCGUACUUGUAAAUAUUCGUUUUCUGUUUAAAUUUAGGGAUAGAGUUCUAGUCGGAUAAGAAGUCGUUUGUACGGGGCUAUAAAUAGCCACCGUUGUAGAUCUGUAAUCAUCAUCAACUCAAUACAACAAACUACUAUUUCCUCGUACUUACUUUCAAGCAGGCGACUUUACCAACACUUUUUCUCCUUUUUCACGAGUUCGUACGGGUUGGCGGGGCUGCAUCAACUUGACCUCCGGCCGAUCUUGUAAGUUCCGUUUAUCGACUAAAUUCUAAGCUUUAACUUCGGGCGCAUCGCUGUCAUUUCGUUUAGAUUUAUUCAUCAGUUAUCGAUAUUUACUAGAAUUCUAGGUUUUACCUGUUGUUCUAGUUUUAUCACCAAUUAUCCAGCUAGGAAUCGGUAAAUUCGGCUUUCUUUAUACUUCUCUGUCUAAUCUAUUUAUUUUAGCCGAUUAGAUCUGUUCCUAGUGUUGCUACUGUAGCGUUGUUUAGAUUACUCUAGCAGUUUUCUUUAUAAACGUUACCUGGUAAUCGGUUGCACUAUAGCCGAUUUCCUUAUUACGGCAAAUCGGCCGAUUCGCUGAUAAGCUUUCUUGAGAUCGGAACCUUAGCUGAUCGCAACCUCUGGGAACUGACACGUUUAUUUCCUUGCCAAUCAACAGUUCAGAUUGGCUGGCUCGCCGCGCGAACCGUACCAGGGCAAUCACCCGAACAGGAGUUAAGCAGAUUCUCCCGGGUCGUGUGUCCGACGCUGGGAAUUCGGUCAGCUGAUUUCUAGUGCCAACACACUUUUGGCACGCCUAGUGGGGCCAAUACAACCGCCACCAUGUCGAAAGCUGCUGAAGUCUCCGAAGAUAACAUCAUCGAAGUGACAGAGGCAGAUCUCAGGGACGACCAGAAGGAAGAACUAGAGAGGCAGACAGCAUACUACCGGAAGACAUGUCUGCAGUCCUUCAGUCGCACCAGGAGCGAGGAGACUAUCAAAAAGGCUCCGUUUCCAACUCCCCGCCAGAUCACAAUCACCGAGGAUUCGGACAAGAUGUCCGAGAUGGUCCAGCAAUCCGUCUAUCAAGCUUUCAUUGAUCAAUCCCCGGUGCUUUCUAAUACGGUAUACAAUGCCGUCAUCAGCUCCUUGGCUAGUGGUGUAUCUCAAGGGUACCAGGGGCCGGCAUAUGUUCCGCUGAUUAUGGCUCCGAGCAAUGCGGCGACAUGAAGAUCACUGGCGAUGCCCGUUCUUCAUCCACUGUUGGGAAAGCAACCUUAGGUUGCCUUCGGCCGAUAAUUGCCCCGAGUGCAACGGCCCGUAUCGUAACAAUCGGCCGUUCAGCAGGUCUCGCUCCAGAGAUGGGAGAUCAGAGCCGAUCAGCAGGAACUGGCGCGACCAAGACAACCGGCGCCCUCCAGUACGUGAUCGGCUGGGGGGCAGAAGUGACCGGUAUGACCGGUCGGAAGGCAGGCGCAAUGAUGGGCCGGGGGCAGAUUUAAUCGACGUGACCGGCCAGAAAAUAGAGUCAGCGUCCACAGACGACUUGAAUAGAUGGCCGAUGCUCGGGUGUUAGAUGAGAACCCUUUAGGACGCGAACUAGAAUGGGAACGCGCCAGGCCACGAACCAAACCGGUGAACCCCAGGUGGUGCCCCGAUGGAUUGACCAAGUCUCAAAAACGAAGAAUCCAACGUCUCCGCCAGUGGGAACAGCAGGAAGAAGAGCAACAGUACACGACGGACGAGAAGAAAGGCAGGUCUUAGGUAUGGCGCCCCAAAAGAAACGACAGAGGAGGCGACAAAUCAGCAGGCGAUGAAUCGGCAGCCGAUAUCGACAUGGUCUUCAUACUGCCGAUGGAAUUCAUGACUCCUGCCGACCAACAGGACAUGUCAGCAAUAGAAGAGUAGAUGGCGCAAUUGGCUUUGGAGCCAAUGACAGCCACAUUCGAGAAGCCCGAAGAAGACAAACGGCAACACCUGAAAGCGUUGUUUCUUAAAGGGCAUGUCAACGGCCGACCCAUCACCAGAUUACUGGUAGACAGAGGGGCUGCAGUCAACAUCAUGCCGUACGCCAUGUUCCGGAAGCUAGGGAAGAGCAAUGAUGACCUGACCAAGACAGACAUGAUGCUCAAGGACUUCGAGGGCAACGUAUCCCCCGCUCACGGCGCUCUCUGCGUCGACCUCACCAUCGGCAGUAAGACCCUUCCUACUACUUUCUUUAUUAUUAAUGGCAAGGGGUCCUACAACAUGCUACUCGGCCGAGACUGGAUACAUGCAAAUUGCUGUAUCCCAUCUACAAUGCAUCAAUGCCUCGUAUAGUGGGUCGGCGACAACAUUGAGGUGGUCACCGCCGAUUCCGCAUACAGCAUCGCGGCAGCCGACACGCAACAGUGGAGCUGCGAAACCGUCAAGUGCAUAUCCGGGAGAGUAUGGGAUACUGACUUCUUGAAGGUGUCCGAUUUUGGCCUACAGCCGAUCCGAGCAGUCGGCUCUGAGGACUCAGAUUAAAUGGAUCAGUUCACCCGAGAAGAUGGGAAGCUGGGACAUGGGUUCACGUCGGCCGAUUCAUUAGAAAUGAUAGACUUAGGCGAUGGCACCAUACCAAGGCCGACAUAUAUUAGUGCAAAUUUAGAUCCGGAAUACAAAUGUAAACUGACAAGUUUGUUAAGAGAACUUAAGGAUUGCUUUGCUUGGGAAUAUCAUGAGAUGCCCGGAUUAGACCGAUCUAUCGUUGAACAUCGGUUACCCAUAAAGCCAGGGUAUCGGCCGUAUCAACAGCCUGCACGGCGGUGCAAUCCUAAAAUCCUACCGGACAUAAAGGCCAAAAUAACGCGGCUAAUCAAAGCAAAAUUUAUUCGGCAAUGCCGUUAUGCCGAAUGGAUCUCCAACAUUGUACCAGUAUAUAAGAAGAACGGAAAGUUACGCGUAUGCGUCGAUUUCAGGAACCUCAAUCAGGCCACACCAAUGGACGGAUACCCCAUGCCGACGGCUGAUGUACUGAUAGAUGCCGCCGCGGGACACAAGGUUAUUAGUUUCAUGGAUGGAAACGCUGGGUACAAUCAGAUACUUAUGGCCGAAGAAGACAUAUCUAAAACGGCCUUCAGAUGCCCGGGUCACCUUGGUUUAUUCGAGUGGGUGGUAAUGACUUUCGGCUUGAAAAAUGUCGGCGCUACGUAUCAGAGAGUCAUGAACUACAUAUUCCACAAACUUAUCGGCAUACUAGUAGAAAUCUACAUCGACGACGUCGUAGUCAAGUCAAAAGGACACCAGGAGCAUCUGGCCGAUUUACGACAGGUGUUGGAAUGCACUAAGAAACAUGGGCUGAAGAUGAACCCGAAUAAGUGUGCCUUCGGCGUAUCCGCCGGACAAUUCUUAGGAUUCAUGGUGCACGAGCGGGGAAUAGAAAUCAAUCAGAAGACUAUAGCGGCCAUCAACAAAAUUGUGGCCCCGCAGAAUAAAACUGAGCUGCAAUCUCUAAUCGACAAGAUGAAUUUCAUCAGGAGGUUCAUAUCUAAUUUGUCUGGGCGAAUCCAAGCCUUCACACCAUUAUUAAAGUUGAAGCCCGACCAGGAGUUCGUAUGGGGGGAAGAGCAACGCAAGGCAUUGGAAGAUAUCAAGCAGUACUUGGUCUCACCACCGGUAUUGGUCCCUCCUCAAACUGGUAAGCCGUUUAAACUAUAUUUAUCAGCCGAUGAACGAGCUAUUGGGUCGGCUCUGGUCCAGGAGUUCGAGGGAAAGGAACGAGUAAUUUAUUAUGUCAGUAGAAGACUUCUGGACGCCGAAACAAGGUAUCCUCCAGUGGAGCGGUUGUGCCUAUGCCUUUACUUCUCAUGUACCAAACUCAGGCACUAUUUGCUAUCAGCGGAAUGUGUGGUCGUAUGCAAGGACGACGUGGUAAAAUACAUGCUGUCACUGCCGAUUUUGAAAGGAUGGAUCGAAAAAUGGAUCUUGGCUUUGUCGGAGUUUGACCUUCGAUAUGAAUCGGCAAAAGCCGUUAAGGGUCAGGUCAUGGCCGAUUUCGUUGCCCAGCACUGCGGGCCAGAGGCUACCUUCGUAGAACCAGUACCUUGGACCUUAUACUUUGAUGGAUCGUCAUGUGGGGCCGGAUCAGGAAUCGGCAUCGUCCUCAUAUCGCCUCGGGGGGCAAGCUAUGAUUUCUCUCUACCGAUAGAAGCAUCCACCACUAACAAUCAAGCAGAGUACUGAGCUGUACUGAAGGGAUUACAAUUGCUAAGGGAAGUCAAAGCUGAUUCCGUCGAAAUUUUUGGGGAUUCCAUGCUUAUCGUGGAUCAGUUAACAGGGAAAUCCGAGUGCAAGGACGAUGUAUUGAGGAUUUAUUACGAAGAUUGCCUCCUGCUUCUGAAAGAAUUCAAGUCGGCAGUUAUCGAGCACAUCCCAAGGAAUCACAACGAGGAUGCCAACAAGCUCGCCCAACACGCAUCUGGGUAUCGGCCGAUUCAAGGCGCCUUGGCUCUAGAGCUCGCGGCCAAUGACUGGCGAAAGGAGAUUGCCGAUUACCUGAAAGAUCCGUCUAAGAAAGUGGAUCGGCGGGUAUGUUUUCAUGCUACCAAAUAUGUGCUACUGGAAGACGACUUGUUCUACCGAACAAUUGAUGGCGUCCUACUCAAGUGUCUAGGAACGGAGGAGGCUAAGACUCUGAUGGGAGAAAUCCAUGAAGGAGUGUGUGGAGCCCACCAAUCGGCACAUAAGAUGAAAUGGAUGAUUAGGAAUAAUGGGUAUUACUGGCCGACGAUCCUCGAAGAUUGCUUCAAAUAUUAUAAAGGAUGUCAGGAUUGUCAGAAAUUCGGGAAUGUCCAACGUGCGCCCGCAUCGGCCAUGAAUCCCAUUAUCAAACCAUGGCCGUUCAGAGGUUGGGGGAUAGACCUCAUCGGCCAAAUUUAUCCUCCGUCAAGCAAAGGGCACAAGUUCAUUCUGGUGGCCACUGAUUAUUUCACCAAGUGGGUGGAGGCAAUUCCGUUAAGGGCCGUGACAUCGGCUGCUAUGGUUGACUUCGUAAGAGACCAUAUCGUCUACCGUUUCGGCAUCCCCCAGACUAUCACGACCGAUCAAGGGACAAUGUUUACAUCAGGAGAAUUCGAGGAGUUCACAGCCGACAUGGGAAUCAAAUUAUUAAACUCCUCUCCGUAUUAUGCCCAAGCUAAUGGCCAGGUCGAAUCUUCCAACAAGGGGAUAAUUAAGUUAAUCAAGAGGAAGAUAGAGGAGCAGCCGAAAAAGUGGCAUCUAUGUCUGACUGAAGCUCUAUGGGCAUACAGGAUGGCUUGCCAUGGGGCCACUAAGAUGUCCCCUUAUCAGUUGGUGUACGGUCACGAGGCAGUACUACCAUGGGAGUUGAGGGCAGGAUCGAGACGCACUUCGCUCCAGGACCAGUUAGCGGCCGACGACUACUCCUCACUCAUGAAAAGGGAACUUGAUGACUUGGCUGGCCAACGAUUGAGAGCUUUGAUAAGCAUCAAAGAAAACAAGAAGAAAGUGGCCAGGUGGUAUGAUAAGAAAGUCAAAGUCAAACAAUUCUCUCCGGGGGACCUGGUAUGGAAGUUAGUGUUGCCGAUCGGGUCGAAAGAUCCUAAAUUCGGUAAGUGGUCCCCUACGUGGGAAGAGCCGUAUAAAAUCGGCAGAUGUGCUCCAGGAAACGCUUAUAUUCUGGAAACAAUCGAAGGAGAGAAGAGUUUACUAGGGCUUUGAACGGAAGAUACUUGAAAAGGUACUACCCUAGUAUAUGGGUCGGAGCAUAAGGAUCGACCAUGAUGAACAACACACAGCCAAUACAAAAGGAUUCGUCUAGAGAAAAAAACGUAAUCGUCCAAAUCGGCCGAUGUAUUUCAUUCGGUACGGACGGUGGGUUACACGGCCGACAAGGUACAAGUUGCCCUUAGAACAAAAAAAAAUUAAUCACGCUUUUUCUUAAGCUCUCUCUCAGCCCGACCUAGUUCUAUCAGAAGACGGAUGUACUCUUCUUUUAUCUCUUUCAUCGAAGCCUCCGCUUCGACUUGACGGGGGAGAGGGUGACUCCGGUCCAUGGCCGGGCGUGAUGUUCCUACUGCUGCAUCUUCAAGGACGAUUUGAUGAGGAAGCGGAUGACUUCUGUCGGCUUGAGGUCGCCGGUGGUCGUUGCUGUCCAGAAAGUCCCAGAUCCAUCGGAUGUCGGCAGGGACGUGCUCUUGGAGUUCGUCGCGAUGAGCUCUGAUUAAAUCCUUAUCUUCUUGCGACAACGGUUCAUCGGAGUGUACAAGUCCGAUGGCUCGUUCGAGUUCGGGGCUAAGGCGCCGUGGCUGCGGAAAGCAACAAUAUACAUAUAGCUGCCGAAAAGGUGAUUCCCUUCAGAAGAGCUAAACUAAGAAAGAGAAUGAAGGCAAAUCUUUUACCUGAUUAACGGAGGAAGAGGUAGAGGAUGGAGAAGACAUGACUGAAAGGCGCACCGACGUGAACAGGUCGAGGAAGAUGAAGCCGAGUUAGAAAGGUACUCUCGGAACGGUCACCUAGGCCGGUGUUUAUAGGAAAGGAAGGCAUGGAUGUUUGGUAAGACGCGUCCCAUCGGGAGUGUGAAAGGUAAUAAAUAAGGGGGCGUCGCGAAGGACGGUCAAAGGGAUCAUUAAAUGUUCGUACAAGAACUGCCAGCACUUUUACAGGUCACCCAGAAGGGCAUCGAUAGCUGCGAUCGCUCGACGCCGGAUCUGAUCGGCAGAGUCCAGGACCCGUUGGUCAUCCUCUGCCGAUCCGGGGACUUCUAACAUAUGGCGGUGGAGUUUGAGGGCCUCGUGAGCCAGAUGCUGCCUCUCUCGUUUCAGAUCGGCAAUGACAGAAGGGAGUUCCUGAAGCCUCUUCUCUUCGGCGUCUAUUGCUUUGGUCACCUGCUCCAUCUCCUUGGCAAGCUCUGCCCUUCGGCGUUUGAGGCGAUCUAUCGUGCCGACGAUCCCCGGGCGAGAGUCUUCCAGAAAGUGAAUCCGUUGAUGCACCUCUUGAGCUUGACGCUUGUACGUGUCUUCUUCUUCACGAGUUUUGGUCAACUUGACGCGAUCGGCCAUGUGGCGCAGGGCCCUAAAGACUGGAAUCCUCAUUGACUCGAUAUAUGCAGCUGGCGCCAAGGCCUCUUCCGCUUCUUCUGGUACUCGCCCGCUGACGUCACCAAAAAGUUGUUGAAUCAGCGAAGCGUCUUCUACCAAUCGGCCGAUGUCCUCUUGAAGAAGGGAUCGGAUGCUUGCGAGUUUGGCACGGACGUCAUCAGGAACGGAGCUCAAAGUGACCUGGCGAGAGGCGACUUCCUCAUCAUCGGAGAGUGCGACCGCAAACGAGAAAAGGCUGUUGUUGGGGGUGUCCUGUUCCUGAAAAAUAGUGAGUCAAGAAGAAGAACAAAUCAGCCGAUGAUGAUAGCAAAUCGGCUGAGUAAGGGUGAGAAAUCUCUUACCUCCUUGAAACGGAUUUCUUCAAACUGCGUUUGGGAGGCUGUUAUCCUCGAUUCAGGGGCUGGUACCAUUGGUUCGUCAGAAGCUGAAGACUCCACCAUGAUUGGUGCUUUGCUCGGGCCAGCUUCCCGAAAGAUGACCAUUGGUUGGUUAGGUGGGGCGCUAAGCGUACCGGUGACCUGUGUCAAAAGAUUGAAUAAGAAUAUUAUCCAAAUACUAGAAAAAUCGGUUGAAGAGUAGUAUACCUCGGCAGACGGAAGCGUGGGCGUGUUGAUGACCGAUUGGGUUGCUGCCGAUUGUUGUGAGUCCACAGAAGUGAUUUGUGUAGUCUAAAAUAAGAUGAGUCAGUAUAGAGAUGGCAAUCGGUAGGAUCAAACAACAAGUUUACCUGCAUGGCCUCCACCAGUAAUGAUGCAGCGGCCGCCCCAGCUUGCGUGACGACUUGAGUAUCUACUUCUCCAGCAGCUGGAAGGGGCAAUGUGGCCGAAGUUUCUGCCGAUGUGAUCGUAGGAGGGUCGGCCGGUUCUGUACGAGCUCGCACUCGGCGACUGGUCUUCUUGGUAACCUUCUUCUGCGCCUGCUUCGAUCGGCCGGCAAUCACAUCCACGGAAGGGGCAUCGUAGCCGAUAAGGGGGAAGAUGGUGUAUAGGUGAUGGUCCUCUAUCGGCCGGCCACUCCGACUGUGUGUUGGGGGAACGCAGUUUUCAGACUGAAGCAACAGCAAGAUGUUAGUGUACAUAUUUAACCGCAUUAAUAAAGGAAUGAAAAUCAGUUAGGGAAAAAAAAUACCUCGGUGUUCGGAUCGAUGUUGGCUGGAUCCAGGAGGUUGCAGUAUGUCGAUGCGGAGGCACAGAAUAGGUACUGUUUUCAUUCGGCCCACCAUAGCUUGAAUGGUUGGACAACAAAGGGGGCUACUAUCCAGUCAUUCAAGUCUAUGGUACUGGAGUCUGGUAUCCGGUCUCGCAGCCGACUAUAGUCAAGACCCUUGGUGAGCUCAUCUCUGAACUUUGCUCGGCCGACGAAGUAUGCCUGAAUCGGCAGUUGACCCAUGCCGAAUUGCCGAGCUGCAACGGAGGGAUUGUAGAAUUCAUAUGUAGGGGCAUCCUUUCCUGAGAAGAAGUUGGCCGGUAAGAUCCCCGGUUUAAUUAGUUCAUCUGUGAGAUCUUCGUCGAAUCAGCCGGUGGUUGAGUCGAAGCAAGAAGGGAGUUCAAAGAUUGGGUCAUCUCUCCAAUAAGGAAACCAGACGGUUGCAUCUUCAUUGAAGCCGUUAUAAAAACACUGGAAGUAUUCGGCCACCUUGGUAGCAGAGUACGAGCAACCAGAGAAGGCCGAUGCCGCUUCGCCGAAAGACAUACACCGGCGUCGGACAGUGAGAUUCUCUGCCGAUUCGACGCUGGGGAAUGUCAUGUGUUCCACUCGCUGCUGAGAGAUCUCGCUCAUGUACAAGUUCAGCCAUAAGUUAAUGAACCACCAGGGUCCACCUGGGUUUCCAAUUGGCUACCCUUGGGAUAGCUUGAUGCCGAUUUGGUGAAGCAUGUGGUAGGCUGCUCCCAGUAAGUGCUUUCCAAGAGGAACAGAAGUCCCUAUUGAUAAUGCUUCGGCCAGAGCUUGGGUAUUGGUAGAUGGACCAGCUGCUCUCCCACAGAAGAAGUGCUUCUCUAGCCACAUCAUCAGGAAGGCCGUGUGCUCUCUGUUGUCGACAGAUCCGGCCCUUUUGUUGCAUCUGAUGAAACCUUUCCACCUGCCGAUUCCCCUUGUGUCCAGCCGAUGUGAUGUUGCGGUUAUAAGGCGGAAAGGGGUGUCCGGGGAAGAAAUAUCCAGGCCGGUCAGGAAGACUACAUCGGCCAAUGUGGGGGUCAUGGGUCCGUGUCCAAACAGGAAUGCGUUGAGAGCAUUGGACCAGAAGUAAGAAGCUGCCACCACUAAUGGCUCAUUCCGUUCCAUUUGGGACAAAGAUAGAUCGAUGCAUUGGCCAAUUUUGAGCUCGUCCCAUUGGACCUUCUUGGAAGCGGUUAUCCGCUGGUACCAUUCCCUCCAACUGGGAGUUUCGUUCGGCCAAGACCUAAAGGUACUCAACCAGUGAUCUAGGUCCAUAGUUGAUUGUUUGAAGGGGAUCCUAUGGGUUUUCCAAAUUGAUUAAGUCGGUUGGAUCUGGAUUUCCCAUGGGUCCAAGACAGAUAAGGCCGAGGUUUUCUGUGAGACGAAUGGUGAUGCGAUGCCUAACCGCCUAAAAAGGAAAAGGGGGUGCGAGGGUAAGAAAUAGAUCUAAAGUACAUGCAUUACUAAUAAGGGAAAGUUUCGGUAAUGACCUCCGGGAUGAAGCUCCUCGUAAUCGGCGGAGUCGCCGGUGCAGCUGCAGACGAUGAAGCUGCCAAUGGGAUCUCGGAUGAAGCUUCAACUUUCGCCAAUGGAGCUCCUUCUUCCGUCGAUGGAGCCGUCGUUAUCGCUACUGGAACCUCCGCCGAAGGCACCAUUUCUGGAGCUUCGCGCAUUGGUGAGGUGCCUGAAGGUGCCGCCAUUGGAAAAGUAGGAGGCAAUGCGAAAGGAAGGAGGCGCUGGAGAAUUGGUGGACUAAGGAAAGUGUUGGAGGAAGAAGAAAGCCUGUGCACUGAAGAAGAUGGACAUGAGCUCGUAAGGAGUACGGGAUGUGCUGAUAUUUAAAGAACGUCUGAGAAGGGGUAAAAGUGGAAUUUUUACCGCGCUGGCGUUUUGAGUUUUUCGGGAGUAGUGGUUGUCGUGGGCACCCGUUUCGAAAAGAUUGCAAUCAUCAGGUUGGAGACCGCGAAAUGGAAGGAUGUUUUCAUUGCGUCUGUUUCGGAUGAGAAGUUGAAAAGAAUUUUGAAGUAAAGACUAUGUUUUACUCCGAAACUGGGAGGCAUGUGUUGACGCCAGAUUUUGACACGAGUAAAAUCGGCGUUAGAAAUGGAAUAAAUUAGGAGAUGCGGCGAGAUACAAGGGCGACGAUUGGAAAUCGGCCGAUUGGUGCUACAGUCAAGGAUCGGUUGGUUGGUGCUGCAGUCAAGGAUCGGCCAAUUGAUGCUACAGAUGAGGAUCGACCGAUUGAUCCUUGGAGUUCCGCCUCGCCCAACCCCUGGUUUGGGAUCGGACGCGCCCGACCCUCCAAGGGAGGAUCUCCGCCUCGCCCGACCCCUGGUUUGGGAUCGGACGCGCCCGACCCUCCAAGGGAGGAUCUCCGCCUCGCCCGACCCCUGAGGUUUGGGAUCGGACGCGCCCGACCCUCCAAAGGAGGAUCUCCGCCUCGUCCGACCUUAGUUCCCAGGGUCGAAAUGAGUCUGAGCCCUCGAUAUGUGGGUCCUGAUCGGUUACCCCCUUGCCAAAGAGGUGAUCGGCCGAUUAGGAGGUUGGAAUAGUUGGGCCGAUGUGGGCUCAAGAAGGAUUAUGAAGAUGAAGAGGGGGUCAGCCCAUGAAGCGCGUGAAAAUAGUACGAAUCGUACUUGUAAAUAUUCGUUUUCUGUUUAAAUUUAGGGAUAGAGUUCUAGUCGGAUAAGAAGUCGUUCGUACGGGGCUAUAAAUAGCCACCGUUGUAGAUCUGUAAUCAUCAUCAACUCAAUACAACAAACUACUAUUUCCUCGUACUUACUUUCAAGCAGGCGACUUUACCAACACUUUUUCUCCUUUUUCACGAGUUCAUACGGGUUGGCGGGGCUGCAUCAACUUGACCUCCGGCCGAUCUUGUAAGUUCCGUUUAUCGACUAAAUUCUAAGCUUUAACUUCGGGCGCAUCGCUGUCGUUUCGUUUAGAUUUAUUCAUCAGUUAUCGAUAUUUACUAGAAUUCUAGGUUUUACCUGUUGUUCUAGUUUUAUCACCAAUUAUCCAGCUAGGAAUCGGUAAAUUCGGCUUUCUUUAUACUUCUCUGUCUAAUCUAUUUAUUUUAGCCGAUUAGAUCUGUUCCUAGUGUUGCUACUGUAGCGUUGUUUAGAUUACUCUAGCAGUUUUCUUUAUAAACGUUACCUGGUAAUCGGUUGCACUAUAGCCGAUUUCCUUAUUACGGCAAAUCGGCCGAUUCGCUGAUAAGCUUUCUUGAGACCGGAACCUUAGCCGAUCGCAACCUCUGGGAACUGACAUGUUUAUUUCCUUGCCAAUCAACAGGUCAGAUUGGCUGGCACGCCGCGCGAACCGCACCAGGGCAAUCACCCGAACAGGAGUUAAGCAGAUUCUCCCGGGUCGUGUGUCCGACGCUGGAAAUUCGGUCAGCUGAUUUCUAGCGCCAACAGGCUCAUUUAUGUCGCCUGACACGCGAAUAUGCACUUUAACCAAGUCAACCUGGUCGACCGUCGGAUUUCAUCCGAUGAACCACUUACACAGGAUCAAGAAGCAUCGCUCAAACGAAGGUGAGUAGCACAGAGGUUACAACAUUCCAUUAUGACAACUUAGUUCCACAAUUUAUUACAUCAGAGUUUCAGAAAUUCAAACAAGUUGCAAGGUUCGAAAAGUCGGAUAAAACAAGCGAAAACUAAACGUCGAUACAGGAUAUCAUGACGAAGUUGAUCAUGACAUCAAAAAUCCCUACCCUCACCGUCCGAGGAGGGAUCCCACUCGAUUGUCCAGCCCGGAGGGAGCUGGGUAGGCCAAGUGGUGCCAGCAACCAAACUAUUGACAUGACCUGAAAAGAUUAAGCCAUAACAAGGCUGAGCAACUAAUACUCAGCAAGACUGACCCGUCGAGUGAAAAGCUUUACCAAGACCUAGACAUGCAAGGCUUUCUGGCUCUGGGAUUACUUUGCCAAAAGCAUCUACAGUCGGUCCUUACUUUCAAUAUUUUAGCUUAAGUUCUACGUUCUUUAACCAGUCUAGAUUAGCAACUUAUACUAAACAAGCAUAAUUUCCAAGUAGUUAAAUAACAAGCAUCAACUUAAUCUCAUAAUCAUGUUUCAUCGUUACUCAGUGCAGAAUAGCGAUCAAGUAGUCCCAAACUGUGAGAGACAGAUGAAUCGAUUCGAAUUUAUUAACCAUGCAUGGCGAACCUAAUCUCACGACAUCCGCGCACCACGAAGGGUCGCUUCAUUUGUCAGCCGUCCCCAUCGAUCCCUUAGGCACGUGUCAGGGCCAAACUGCCUUUGGCGUGCAAUGCUCCACAGUCCCGACCUCUGUCGUACUGUGACCGCCACUGCACCCACAUGAUGCACCAUGGGAACGACGUUCCAAGGACAGCAGGAGUAUAAGCCACGUCCCAGUUCAGUCAGGUACUAGGCUUCCCCAUCCCAGACUAGGUAUGAGAUUAGUACUUUCAAACACUUGAUCACGAACGCUGACACGUUUCAACCUUAGAUCAAUUUCCUUUAGACAGACGGGGAAAACCACCAAGUAUCGAACAUAAGCCCGACCCCGUCCGUCAUCCUUAUAGUUGCAACAUAAAUAAACAUUCAACUCCUAUAACUCGCGAGUGAUAGGAAAUCACUCGACUUUUACUGAAACCUAAUAAGCAUUGCAACUACUCGACUUUAGCAACUAGUAUUCAAACAAGGUACUAAGUUCAUGCAUCUACGGUUUCAAUCAACUCCUACACACGUAAAUGCGCAAACAUAAACAUCAACAUGUUGCAUAAAGUAAAACAGGGAAGUCAUGCACCGGGGCUUGCCGUCAGGAAGAGUUAGCGGGUCCUCGGGGUCUUGAUCCGGCUCAGGCUCGCCUUCCAAGUGGUGAAGCUCCGCAGCGGGGUCUUCCUCCGGUGUCGGGUGGAGCUCGUAGGUUCCAUCGGCGAGAUUUGCUUCUAUACGACAUGCAUAUGCAAAAGUUUAGUUGGACUCACGCGUUUAUUCAACGACACAAGGCUUGGCUUAAGACAAGGAGUUGCAACAGCCACAUUCACUUUGACGAGGUUCAACUUUCAUGCAACUUCAAACGAAUGUGGUCGGUUUAAACUUGAGUUCGAGUUGAAUGGCGAUUGUGUACAUAUAUAGUUUUCUUACACUUAGAGUUGCAUAAAGAGAAUGAAAGGUCGUGUUUGGGUGGUUUGGGUGCAUUAGGAUAGUUACUUACUUCUGAAUGUUUUUAUGUACCUCUUUCAAUUUCCACUUAUUUAUCGUAUUAGAAUUUGUGCUUUCCUUUUAUUCCUUUAGGUUGAUUAAUUAACCAAAAUGACUUCAUAUCCAAACAGCAGCUAAAGGCACUGAUAAAAUUACAACACCUCACUUAAGCCAUAGCUGGGUUACUCUAAAAUUUUGGGGGCCAUUGGAUGACUUAAAAAGGAAUUACAUGCAUUUUAUUAUUAAAGGUAAAAUGAGCUUAACUUUUUCUAUCUUCAAAGUUACUAUGCAACAGAGGGUGAAACUUAACCAGUGUGUUAAGGGUAUGUUACAGGAUCUUUGGCGAAUUUUUCAUAAUUUUUGAAGAAGGUUAACUAUUUACUCUAUUUCCUUUUUAAUUAAACAUGCUUAGCAAGGAAGGUGUUUUUUCUUUCCGAAUUGCACAACAAUUUACAUUUUUCCUGCAAACUUCACAGCAAAACAAAAUUAACCCAACUAGUUUCACAUUUUUUUGAGCUCUGGAUCAAAACGUAUGCAAAAAGGAAGAAUUAAUCUUAGAUUCCCAAAUUAAAGUCAAAACAAUGACUUAAAGUGCUAGACCAGAGCCCUAACCAUUUUUCUGAGCUUCUACACAUAGAAACAAGCAUCACAGAGUUGGUUUUACAUUUUUCCCACUUUUCUUCUAUUUAAUAGGAUUAAAAAGGCCUAAACCAUGAUUAAAAGCAUAUGAUAUUAUUUACAACAGUAACAUGAGCAAACUUAUUUUUCUUAGGAACUAGAUAGAGCAAGGAUUCCAACAAAAGUGGUUUGGUAUUUUUAUGAUUUUUCUACGAUUUACUGGGCAUUUACAAAGUUCAACCAUAUUUCUACCUAUUAUUUAAAAGAAAAGCCGUGGCAAACUUGCAGGUUAGCCCCUGGGUCUAUGGGUUAACUACGCAGAGGUCCCUGAGUUUUGCGCCCAGGCCCCUGGAAAGAAUGGGGAUGAUGCAAUGUAGUCCCCAGGGCGCGCGCGGCGGCGGCGAGGAAAUCCCCGGCGGUUCGUCGGCGGGGAUGGGGCAACAAGUGGUCGGAGGGGUGCGGGGGCUCACCUGAGCUCGGUUUGGUGGGGUUGGGGCGACGGAGAUGGUCGGUAGGGAUCAAAACACGGCGGCGGCGACAGAGCUUGGCUGGUGGCGGUGCAGGCGUCGUUCCGGCGCACUGGCGGCGUCGGGGAGGCCACGGGCUGCUCGGAGACGUGCGCGGAGGGGGGGCGAAGUGGGCGGCGAAGUUGCCGGAGUACGGGGUGGCGCGGAGGGGUGAGCUCCACGGGAGCUUAGCGGCGGCGCUGAGAAGGAAGCAGAGGCGUGGUUGCGAGCGGUGGCAAAGGGUGGCAUUGCCGGUGAGGGGGACCCUUUUAUAGGGCAGCGGUGGAGCGGAGGGUCGAGGUGGGGCUCCGGUGGAGGAAGGAUAAGGCCGGGAGCGGUGCGUGCGCGAGCGAGGCGGCCAUUGGCCAGCGGUGCCAUUGGGCAGGGGAGGCGGAGCUCCGGGUGGUCUCUGGCCGCGAUUGGCCUCGAGCGAUGCGUGUCUGAGGCCUCCGGUCUGUCGGCGGGCGAAGCGGAGGGCCACCGCGGGGGUUGGGCGAGCGGGCGGAGGCGCGGGACGUCGUUGGCGUGGUGGCUUCUCCAGCGGGUGGGCGAAGCGCGGUUGGGCAGAGCAGAGCCGCGGCAGAGGGAAGGGCACGCGCGCGGCCGACGGUUGGCCAGCCCGGCGUUCGCCCCGUCUUGUCGCAGGCGCGGGUUGGGCGCCGUGGCUCUCACCUUAUCGUUGUCUCGCCGGGGAUAGGGCGCCGGUGAGCUGCCGGUGGCCAGCGGCCACGAGGCACGCGGUGCGCGGGCGAACAUGCCCUGGCGCGCGGGCGUUGAGGCCCCUUCGGGCAGUAAGCCCGACCAGCUUUGAGAGAUCCUAUCUCAAGAUUUUGCAACACAACUUCCAAAACUCUUCUAAACAAACUUGUUCAACUCUGGACGUAGUUCAAACUUGGUUUAAGGUGCUGGUUUAGAUUGUGAAAGGAUUUGGAGAUAUCUCAUGCCAAAGUUUGCCAAAAAUAUGGAAAUCCAGACUUAGCCAAUUUUGGCCGGAGAGGUGGAAUUUCAGGAACUUAGCUAUGUUUGAGUCAACUUUAGGGCAGCUUCCAAGUUGAAUUAGACAGAAGUGUUAAUAGAGGAGUUGCUCUCCAAACUGAGGACUUCAACUUCUAUUUAGGGUAUUUCUGGAGUUUAGUUCAGAAAUUUGGAGGAACGCCCUCGCCAAGAGGUGCACUCUGAGCAGUUUUCCAGACUUAGCGUUGUGGUGCUCAGGGGCUGAGUUGACUGCUUUGCUCAACUUUGACCAAGAUUUUGAACAGGUUCUGGUUCGAUUUGGACCUGGGUCAUUGUAACAAACUUGGAAAACACUUGAGGUAUUACAACCUUUAUUAAGAGCCUGACUUGAGUUUAGAUAUGAAAUCGUGAGAUAAAGGCUUGCAAAGUUGGAGGAAAACUUGAAUUCCACGACUUGGAGGUUUAUAGGGUUCUUUAUUAUUCCGGUUUUGAUUCCUGUUUUUGACUUCCUCCCACUCCGAAUUAGCCAAAGUGACUUUAACAAAUAUUGUUUGAAAUUAAAAGUGUUACAACUCUUAUUUGGGCAAAAUUUUAAGUUUGUAUAUAAAAUCUCAAGUUUUAUUUUAAACUCCAUAAAGAGCUUCUUAGGGUUAAAAUGGUCAUUUCACUUCCUUUACUUAGUGAUUAACCACUGGUUUAUAUUUAAAGCACUUAAUUUAGGUAGAGUUGUUACAAGUAUCCACUCACUACUUUACCAAAUGGGUGCAGGCAGUCCCUCUGAAGACCGUGACGUUGGCCGUCAUGAUUGAAUUCAUAAGCGAGCACAUUAUCUAUUGGUUUGGUAUUCCUCAGACUGUUACGACCGAUCAGAGAACAAUGUUUACUUCAGGAGAGUUUGAGGAGUUCACUUCCGAUAUGGAAAUUAAGUUGUUAAAUUCUUCUCCAUAUUACGUUCAAGCUAAUGGUCAGACCGAAUCGUCCAAUAAAGGGAUAAUCAAGUGUAUCAAGAGGAAGGUAGAGGAGCAACCAAAGAGAUGGCACAUGACUUUAAGCGAGUCUUUGUGGGCCUACAGGAUGGCCUGCCACGGCGCUACUAAGGUGUCUCCUUAUCAAUUAGUGUAUGGAUAUGAGGCGGUGCUCCCUUAGGAAUUGAGGAUGGGGUCUAGACGCACGUCGAUUCAAGAUUAGUUGACAGCCGACGAUUAUUCUCUCCUUAUGAAAGGGGAGCUUGAGGAUUUGGUGGGUCAACGAUUGAGGGCCUUGAUCAGUAUUGAAGAGAAUAAGAAAAGACUUGCCAAGUGGUAUGACAAGAAGGUCAAGGUCAAGCAGUUCUCGCAAGGGGAUUUGGUAUGGAAAUUGGUAUUGCCGAUAGGGUCUAACCAUCCCAAAUACGGCUAGUGGUCGCCUACUUGGGAAGGGUCGUAUAAAUCGAUCGAUAUGUGCCAGGAAAUGCAUACGUAUUAGAGACCAUCGAGGGAGAGGAAUUUACAAGAGCCUUAAAUGGGAGAUAUUUGAAAAGAUACUAUCCCAGCAUAUGAGUGGACGCGUAGCCGAUGAUAUAGUGUAUCGAGUCGUUAUGGCCGAUUCCUAUUGACUCGUGUUUAUAUAGCCGAUGCAGGGAGGCAUCGCCUUGAGGACGAAACCUCUAAUCAAAUUGGCCGAUUAUUAUUCGGUACGGUGAUUGGAUACAUGGCCAACAUGGUACAAGUCGCCCUUAGACCAAAAGUACCAAUACAUCUAUCGGGUUACAAUAUGAUUAACUGCAUUUCAACUGGGCUUUGUUUUUAUUGAUCUCUCUUUGGACCCGGCCUAGUUCUAUUAAGAGACGGGUGCUCUUUUCCUCCCUAUCCGCCAUGGCAUCUUUGAGAGCGACCUGGCAGGGUAGCUGAUGACUCCUCUCAAUUGGCGGCUGAGGUGGCUCCCUGGAGCUGUUGGCUUCGAUGUGAUCCACGAUCUUCUUAAUGUGGGUCGGAAGAUGGUCUUUAAGCUCCUCACGGUGGGCUUUGAUCAGGUCUUGGUCCACCUGCAUCAGUGGUUCCUCAGAGUGCAUAAUUUCGAUAACUCGCUCAAGAUCAGGGCUGAGCCGGGUCGGCUGGACAAACAGCGGGCAAUCAGUUGUCGAAAAGAAUUGGUCAAGGAGCGCAAGGCUGAUCUCAUACCUCAUUGACGGGGGAAGAAGAAGACAUCUUGGCGCCCGGUUAGGGAUCUGAAAAUGGUCGAGCAGAGUGUAGAAGGAUGGAUGAGAUACGAGUGCCUCUGGGAGGAAUGUAGGGACCCCAUAUUUAUAGGAGAAAAGGUAAGGGGCAACGGUUGGCAAAGGCAUCUAUUCAAAGCAGAUGAAUGUUGAGCUAAAAGCUGCGAAGAGGAAACGUUCAAGUCCGUAUUCACACAAUGAUGGCAAAAGGGGCAUUAAAUGUUUGUGCAGAGGUGUUCAAAAGAUAAUUCAAUGUUUUGAUACAUUCAUUCAAGAAGAAUAUUAAUGGCCGCGAUUGCCUACUGGCGGAUCUGAUCCGCUGAAUCUAGAACUCGUUGGACAUCUUCGGCUGAUCCAAGAAUUUCUAGCAUGUUGCGAUGAAGCCGGAUGGCCUCAUGCGCAAGGGUUUGCCUCUCCUGCUUCAGAUCAGCGAUGACGGUCGUGAGAUCAUGAAGAUUAUUCUUUUUGGCGGUUAUAGCCUUUGUCACCUACUCCAUCUCCUUGGCAAUCUCUGCCCUAUGCUAUUUGAGACGGUCUAUUGUGCCGACGAUGUCUGGGCGAGAAUUUUCGAGUACGCCGAUUCGGUGAUGUACCUCUUGAGCUCGGUGUUUGUAGGAAUCCUUCUCUUCACAUGGCUUUGCCAGCUUGGCAUGAACGGCCAUGUGCCGCAGGGCUCUGAACACCGGGAUUUGCAUUGACUCGAUGUAUGUAGGAGGUGCAAGAGCUUUUUCUACAUCCUUCAGGACUCGGCCUUUUAUUUCGCUGAAGAUUUGCCAAAUCGGCGAAGCGUCUUCCACCAAUCGGCCGAUGUCAUCUUGAAGAAGUGCUCGGAUUCUCUGGAGCUUUGCACGUACUUCUUCCGAAAUUGAACCUGGAGCCACUUGUCGAGAGGCUACCUCUUCAUCAUCAGAAACAGCGAUCGCAAAUGAAAAGAGGCUGUUAUUGGGCGUAUCUUGUUCCUAUAAAAGUAAGAGAGGAAGGAACGGAUUAGCCGACAGUAGUGGGAAAUCGGUCGGAUUGGAUGUCGAAGGCCCUUACCUGUUUAAAAUGAAUUUUCUUCUGUUUGUGUUUGGGGGAUUGCUACCCUUGUCUCAGGAAUCAGCAUGGUUGGCUCGUCAGAAGAAGAAGACUCGACGGUGAUCGACGUUGUGUUUGGACCGGCUUCCUGAAAGUAACAAAAGGAGAGUCUCUAUAAGUAUGAAGCAAUAGUUAGAUCUAAGGAUGAGUACCAGUUACUUUACCUCUGUGAGUCGUCCGGCCGAUGACUGUUGGAAAGGUAUGAUUGAUGUACCCAGAGUGGCCUACAUUAGAAAUCGGUCAUUUUUGACUAAGGAAUAAGAGACUUGAGUAAGAUGUAUGUUCUUUACCUCAGCUGCAAGGAUUGCUGGUGGUUCGGUCUCUGCUUGGGAUGCGACCGAUUGCUGUGAGGUUUGCUCCGAAAGAAUUUGCGCAGCCUAACAAAAAGUGGAAAUUAAUACUGAUAGUAUACUUGGAGAAAUGUGAAGCAUAUAAAGUUACCUGAACAUCUUUUACCAAUAAGGAUGCAGCUGCUGAUCCGGCUUCCGUAGCGGCUUGGGGGUCGACCUCCUGGGCGAUCGGCAGAGUUGGUGUGGCUGAAGACUCGGCUGGUGGCACCGCCGAUUGAUCGGCCGGUUCUAUACGGGCGCGCACCCGGCGGCUUGUCUUCUUUGAAGAGGAUAUCUUCAUCUUCUGCUUCAAUCGGCCUGUGAUGAUAUCUUCGAUUGACGGGGACUGAAAGCCGAUGAUUGGAAAUGAAGUAUAUGGGUGGCGAUUCUCUAUCGGCCUGCCACUACAGUUGUGCGUUGGAGAGAGUUGGCUUUCAGACGACAAGAAAUGAGGGAAAUCAGUGGUAAUACUGUAAGAGUACGGUGUCAAAUCGGCCAGAAGGAUUGGUACCUCUGCAUUCGGAUCAAUGUUAGCGGGGUCCAGAUCAUUACAAUAUGUUGUAGGAGAUGUGCAGAAGAGGUGUUGUUUCCACUCACCCCACCAUAGCUUGAAUUGUUGGACAGCGAAGGGGGCCACAACCCAGUUGGCCAAUUCGAUGGUACUGGAAUCCGGCGUCAAGCUGCACAGCUGAUUGUAUUCAAGACCUUUAGAGAGCUCCUCCCGACACUUAACGCGGCCGGCAAAAUAAAUCUUAAUCGGCAUUUGUCUGAGGCCGAAUUGCCGCGCUGCCACUGAUGGGUUGUAGAAUUCAUAGGUUGGGGAGUCUUUUCCUGAGAAGAAGUUUGCUGGUAGGAUCCCAGGCUUGAUCAAAGUAUCCAUAAGCUCAUUAUCGAAGUAAUUGAUGGUUGAAUUGAAGCAGUCGGGGUUUUCAAAGAGUGGCUCAAUUCUCUGAUAUGGGUACCAGCUUGUAGUUUCUUCAUUGAAGCCGAUAUAGAAGCAUCUGAAAUACUCAGUUGUAUUUGUGGGGGUAAACUUGCUGCCAGGAGAAGCUGACGCUACCUCGCCAAGGAAGUGCAACGCCGUCUUAAUGUUGGGUUAUCCUCUGAUUCAAUAUUGGGGAAUGUCUUGGUCUCAACUCGUUCCCUGGAGAUCUUGCUCAUGUAUAAGUUGAGCCAGAUGGUGAUAAACCACCAGGGGCCACCAGAGUUCCCAAUCGGCUCUCCGGAUGACAGCUUGACUGCGAUUUGGUGCAUCAUAUGAUGAGCCAAUCCUAGCAGGUGUUUUCCUAAGGGGAUAGUAGAACCUUUUGCUAGGGCCUCGACCAGAGCCUGUGUAUUGGAGGAGGGGCCAACUGCUUUGCCACAGAAGAAGUGCUUCUCUAACCACAUCAUCAGGAAAGCUGUGUAUUCUCUAUCGCCGAUAGGACCGGUCUUCAUAUUUUUAUCAAUAUAGCAUUUCCACCUGCCGAUUCCCUUUGUUUCCAGGCGAUGGGUUGGUUUGAUCAGGAAAUUGAAGGGCAAGUCGGGGGAAGAGAUGUCAAGACCGGUCAGCAUCAGGACGUCGGCCAAAGUAGGGGUCAUGGGCCCAUGUCCAAAAAGGAAAACAUUGAGAGCGUCAGACCAGAAAUAAGAAGCUGCCAUGACCAAAGGUUCAUUCUUCUCCAUUUGAGACAGAUAUAAGUUUAUGCAUUGGCCGAUUUUUAGUUCAUCCCAAAGAACCCUCUAAGAAUUGGACAUCCUUUGAAACCACUCUUUCCAGCCAAGGGUUUCGUUCGGCCAAGAUCUAAAUGCACCUGUCCACUGGCUUAAAUCCAUUGGUGACUGCUUGAAAGGGAUCAUGUGGGUUUCCAGGUUGAUCAAUUCAGUGGGAUCUAGAUUCCCCAUGGGGCUAAGACCGACGAGGCCGGGUGCGUCAGAAACAGGGAUGGUGAUUUGCUGCCUAAGUUCCUAAAAAGGAUACAAAAGGAGAACUAAGAACAGAUCUAAAAGAUGCGUGAAUGGUGAAAAGUAAAAGUAAAAACUUUGGGAUAUUUACCUCUGGAAUGAAAGCCAUAGUCGCCUAUGGAGCCGCUAUUGGAGUAAACAGAAUAGGAUGGACGGAAGAUGAAGGAGGAAUCACCGUAGGAAUGCAGUUGGAAGAUGAAAGGGUGCCGAAAUGCGAUGGAAGAUGAUUCGCCGGGGAAAAAAGAGUUUCCCAGCUUGUGGAGAAGAAGCGGCGGAGAAUGCAAAUAUUUAAAGAUGGUUCGAGAGAAGGGUAAAGGUGGGAUUUUACCGCGCUGUCUGCACAAAUUUCGGGAAGAGCGGUUGCCUGCGAGCGCCUAGCUCGAAAAUUGUGAUCAUCAGAGAGAAGACCGCAGAACAGAAAGGAGCUUUCGCCGUGCCCGCCUCGGAGGAUGAGUUAGAGUUGAAAAAAAUUUGAAGCAAAAAGUUUCACUCUGAAACUUGGGGGCAUGUGUUGACGCCGGAUUUUGACACGUACUUGAAAUCGGCGUCAAAGAAGGAGAAAGGGGGGCCGAUGCGGCGGACUAGAAGCUACAGUUGGGAAUCGGCCGAUUGAAGCUACAGUGUUUCAGCCGAUUGGUGGAAGAAAUCGGUGGAGGCUGGCCGAUUGAGAGCCAAAGCAGUUUGGCCGGUUUGGGCCUAAGGUGGACCAGGAUGAAGAUUUGCUGAAGAGACAGGCCCGUGGGAAAAUAAUAACCAACUCGAAUAUGAGUCGUGUUUGUAACUAUUUGUUGUCGUUUGAAAUUAGAGAUAGAUUCUAGUCGGUUAUGAAAUCAGUUGCAACAGGCAAUAAUAGCUGCCUCGAGAGGCUUGUAAAAAAAUAACACACAAUCAAUAAAACAAAUUUACUCUUUCCUCGUACUUUACUUUCAAGUCGGCGACUUCGCCAAAACCUUUUUCUUUCACGAGUUCGUACGGAUUGGCAGGGCUGCAUCUACAUGAUCUCCGACCGAUUCUGUAAGUUCCGCUUAUCGAGUAAUAUCUAAGCUUUAACUUCGGGCGCAUCGCUGUUGUUUCAUUUAGAUUUAUUCACUAGUUAUCGAUAUCAACUACAGUCAUAGGUUUUACCUGUUAUUUUAGUUUUUAUCACCAAUUAUCCAGCUUGAGGUACGAGCUAUCGGCUUCUAUUAUUUUUAUCCUUUAUCAUCACAUAGCUGAUUAGAUCUACUCCAAGUGUUGCUUUUGUAGUGUUGUUUAGGUUGCUCUAGAAGUUUUCCUUACGAUUGCUACGUGAGUAUCGGCUGUCUUAUAGCCGGUCAUCUCUAUAGUAAAUCGGCCGAUUCGCUAAUACGCUCUUCAAGACAGAUCGGAACUCUAGCCGAUCGAAACCCCUAAAAUUUAAUAUUCUUCUUUCCUUUGUCAAUCAACAGGUCAGAUUGACUGGCACGCCGCGCGAACCGCACCAGGGCAAUAACCUGAACAGGAGCUAAGCAGAUUCUCCCGGGUCGUGUGUCCGACGCUGAGGGUCAUCGGCCAAUUUUCAGGGCCAACAACAGCUUUUGGGCAAAAGCAUAUAGGACUUUUAGGGGGUGUUUGGCAUGGCUCUAGAGCUGAACUCCGGUAACUCCAGCCAAUUUUCCAGCCAAACACCCUAGCUCCAAAACUCCAUGGAGCUGCAGUGCAAAUGGGAUGGAGUUUUGGCGCACCUCUUUUGUAGCUCCAAAACCACCUAAUAUGAACCUCCUCGUGGAGUUGGUGGGUAAUUAACCAUCAAUGCCACUGAUUAAAAUAAAAAUGAUUCACUUCUAUUUUCUCUCGAGACCCCUCCCCGCGCCGCCCGAGGCCUCCUGAUGCCGCUCUCCUGCGCCGCCGCCUAGCGCCGCCGACAGCUGCUGUCGCCGUCCGUGCCCCGCGUCCUGCGGGCUACCGCCUCGCCAUCCCCAUGAGCCCCCUGCACCGCCGUCAGAGCCGCCAGCCGAGCCGCUGCGGCCGGGUUUCCGCCGUCUUGCCGCCUCUUUCCUCAACUGGAGUGAGCCAUCAGCAGCAGCAGAUUCCCCUCGGCGAGCCACGCCCGUUUCGCCGGUUCCGUUGUCACCCUGCUGCCGGAGUGCCGCCGCCACCGUGAAAACCGCCCGCCCCCCGAUCUCCACCACCACGCUGACCACCUCCGUCCAUGCCCUCCGCCGGUGAGCACACCCGUAGAUUCCCCUCGACCCCCUCUUCCUCUUGCGCCACCUGCCCAAAACACCACCUCGCCGGAGCGCCAGCAAGCUAGCUGGCCAGAGCCCCGGUGAGAGGAGGAAGAAGGAACCUGGCUCUUUUGUGAUUGGGUCCUUGAGGAAAGCUAAAAUCUUUUGCUCUGUUCCUUGCUCCCGGCGAGAGGAGGAAGAAUAGUGGGCUUCUGUGGUGGAGGGCGAGAUCGAACCAGGAGUCAGAAUGUCAAUCUACCCUCAAACUCCUCUUUUCUGGAGUUGGGAACACCCUCCCAACCAAACACCUUCAUCAGACAGCAGGUUGAAAAGAGGCACAUGAGGCUCAGCCGCUUAGGCCCACGGGCAAAAAAAAAAAACUCUUACUUUAUGGCGGAGUAGUUGCUGUUCCAGUGUGCAGGUAAAUUGUCGCAAAUGCCCUCUUGUGGUCGCGUUGCAGUAGCCGAUAAGGCGUCCAAACGUGAGGUGCACACACCUGAUCUGAUCCUCUCAGUGGAAACGGGCCAGGUCCAUGCAACCCAGGACAGGAAGGCUCUAUACCUGGGCCGAACGGUAGCCCAAGAGGCCGACAGUAAGUGAGCUCACGGGUGACGAACGGCCCAGAAGCCGCCCCAAUCCGGCCACCGCCACUGAGCCGGCUCGACUAAACCGGAUCGCCACGCAGCCCGACCGCGCAGGCGUACUUCCCGAACUACCCCCGGAGAUUAUCCAAUCGGACGGCCAAGCGCCACGCACUGCCAAAGAAUUCCCCGAAAUGACCCUACUCUUCCCUUUGCCUCCCUCGCGUGCCGCCGGUUCUGCUCGACCGGACCAGCGGUUCAGGCGCCGAAUAUUCGCCCGCGGAUAUUUCUUGCCCGGUGCGUCAACUCCGCCGCUAUAAAUACCCUCAUAGGGCGGCCGCUAGGGUUUUAGUGCUUCUCUCCCGGCGGCGCCUCCACAUAUCGUCUCUCAGAUCGGGAGGCGAAACCAAGGUGACUGACCUCAUCCCCUUUCUCCUCCCUCCGUCUCUGGUUGCUAUAGCUAUUUCAUCCAUGCGCUGUCCUUAUAGCUGAUUAGUAUUUUUACUAGUGGAGUUCGAGUCGUUUUGGUUCCAUUCAGUAGUGCUUGUGUUGAUUGGAUUGAAUCGGAGGACUCGAAGUGGUUUGUGCUGCUCGAAUCGUAAGUUUGUUGGGCUAAUCUCGAUGGAAUUUAUGUCAAUUCGUUGGUUUAGUGGUCCUUGGCAGUUCUCUCUGUGAUAGGCCCGUCCGAUCUGUAGAGAUGCGGUGGAAUCCUGGUUUACUCAAAACGGUUCUAGAUUCCUCUGUUCUUCCCUUAUUUUUUGUUUCGAUUACUUAGUUUGCACGUUAGGGGCCUAUGAAGUUUAUGUGCUCGGAUCCUUUAGUGAAACUGAUCUGUUUACUCAGAUGUGCUCGGAUCCUUCAGUGAAACUGAUCUGUUUACUCAGAUCUGCUGGUAGCUAACAGGUUCAGGGUAGUUAUGUUGAUGGUCUAGUUUUGGUAGUUUCAUUGUCGAUUUCUGUCCAUUUUUGUCAUGUUCUGUCCAUAAAAAUACUAUCUGUGCUUCUUCAUAUCUUGUAAUAUGAAUUCAUUUGACAAACUAUGCAUUUCUUUUAGAGUGUUUGUCUAAAUUAAUCUUCUGGUAUAUCCCUAUGCCAGUCUGUUAAUAUGUCUGUAUUAUAGUGUUUUGUUUGAGGUGGUAAUGUACAUGGUGCACCCUGCAGUUUUUCAUGUCUAAUAUUGAAUCUCCUUGUUUGCUGUAUGUAUUAAGGAUUAGUUUCACUUCAAAUAGCUUACUGCUGAUGCUUUCUUGUUUGUUUAAUAUGCUGUGUAAUCAUGUUGACCCUGAGGUUUGUAAGAAUUCCUCUUAUUUGAUUAUUGCAUGGAUUAGUGUCCUGAAGGAUAUGGCUCCUUUGUACAAUUAAGAUAAUUCACUUUUUUUUCUCAACUUUUAUAUGCUUACUAGCCCAUUAGGUUGUGUAAACAUUAGAGUGCUUUAGCCUGGUAAAGAUGAGUUAAGCAUUUUAAAUAAAUUUUUGGAUUUGGUUGAUAUCAUCCUUAACACCUGCAUUUAAACAAUUUGUCUCUUUUGAUCCUGACUAUUACAGUGGGUGUUACUUUCUUUAGUCAUUCUGUGGUAUCAAAGUUUCUGGUGUAGUUGUGUAAUUAUGGUUUUGGUUGGAUUCUUACUAGUAUUUUCUACCUUUAAACAGCAGGAAAUUAUAUACAUAUUUGUAGUGUGAUCUUCAUAAGAAGUCAAGAUGGUGAAGUUCACAGCGGAAGAGCUCCGUGCCAUCAUGGACAAAAAGAACAACAUUCGUAAUAUGUCCGUUAUUGCUCAUGUGGACCACGGUAUGUUAAGAACAGUGUUUAAUUAAAUGUUAUGCAUACCUGUUCCUCGACAUUUUUCAGGCUUUUCAAUUUUAGCAAUUGUUUUUUUUCAGUAUUAAAUCUCUGAAUUGUUCUUGCCAGUGAAUGCGAUUCAUGCUGCGUUAGCUAUCACAGACCUAUUUUACAUAUGUAGAAAUAUUCAUUUCAUGUUGGAAAUAGGCUUAUUGUUCUUUUGUAAUUAAUGUAUUGGUUUAUCUCUAGAUAUUGCAGUGUAUAGUAUCUGUUUACUAUGUGUUUUAUAUUGGGAUGUAUUGUUGUCUUUGUUAACUUGUGAGAGGUUGUCUAUCCCUAAUGUUGUACUAUUCUUGAUGCAUCUUCGGACUGACUUUUAAGUUCCACACUAUAGUCUUACAUCUCAUUAAUUCUUUGCAGGCAAGUCUACCCUUACAGAUUCCCUUGUGGCAGCUGCUGGGAUUAUUGCCCAGGAAGUUGCUGGUGAUGUCCGCAUGACUGAUACACGUGCAGAUGAAGCAGAGCGUGGUAUUACAAUCAAAUCCACCGGUAUUUCUCUGUACUAUGAGAUGACUGAUGAGUCACUGAAGAGUUACAAGGGUGAGAGAGAUGGUAACCAGUACUUGAUCAACCUUAUCGACUCACCUGGGCACGUUGAUUUUUCUUCGGAAGUCACAGCUGCCCUUCGUAUCACCGAUGGUGCUCUAGUGGUGGUUGACUGUAUUGAAGGUGUCUGUGUGCAAACUGAAACUGUGCUCCGCCAGGCUCUUGGUGAGAGGAUUAGGCCAGUGCUUACUGUGAACAAGAUGGACAGGUGUUUCCUUGAGCUUCAGGUUGAGGGUGAGGAAGCCUACCAGACUUUCUCCCGUGUCAUUGAGAAUGCCAAUGUCAUUAUGGCAACAUAUGAAGAUAAGCUCCUUGGUGAUGUCCAAGUCUACCCGGAGAAGGGAACUGUUGCUUUCUCUGCUGGUCUGCACGGCUGGGCCUUUACCCUCACCAACUUUGCCAAGAUGUAUGCUUCGAAGUUUGGAGUUGAUGAAACUAAGAUGAUGGAGAGGCUCUGGGGUGAGAACUUCUUUGACCCAGCCACAAAGAAGUGGACCACCAAGAACACAGGCUCUGCUACCUGCAAGAGAGGAUUUGUUCAGUUCUGCUAUGAGCCAAUCAAGCAAAUCAUCAACACCUGCAUGAAUGACCAGAAGGAUAAGUUGUGGCCCAUGCUUCAAAAGCUUAAUGUUACCAUGAAGUCUGAUGAGAAGGAAUUGGUUGGCAAGGCUUUGAUGAAGCGUGUUAUGCAAACUUGGCUUCCAGCUAGUACUGCACUGCUUGAGAUGAUGAUAUUCCACCUUCCUUCCCCAUCAAAGGCACAAAAGUAUCGUGUGGAGAACUUGUACGAGGGACCCCUUGAUGAUAUCUAUGCUACUGCUAUCAGGAACUGUGAUCCGGAGGGUCCUCUUAUGCUGUAUGUUUCUAAGAUGAUUCCAGCAUCUGACAAGGGCAGGUUCUUCGCCUUUGGUCGUGUCUUCUCUGGGAAGGUUGCUACUGGUAUGAAGGUUAGGAUCAUGGGUCCCAACUAUGUCCCUGGCCAGAAGAAGGAUCUGUACGUCAAGAGUGUCCAGCGUACUGUUAUCUGGAUGGGAAAGAAACAAGAGUCUGUUGAGGAUGUUCCUUGUGGUAACACUGUUGCUAUGGUUGGUCUGGAUCAGUUCAUCACGAAGAAUGCUACACUCACCAAUGAGAAGGAGGUUGAUGCAUGCCCAAUCAGAGCAAUGAAGUUCUCUGUCUCCCCUGUUGUGCGCGUUGCUGUUCAGUGCAAGGUUGCCUCUGACCUACCCAAGCUCGUUGAAGGUUUGAAGCGUCUGGCAAAGUCUGAUCCUAUGGUCCUCUGUACAAUUGAAGAAUCUGGUGAGCAUAUUAUUGCUGGAGCUGGUGAGCUUCACCUUGAGAUUUGCCUGAAGGAUCUGCAGGAAGACUUCAUGGGUGGUGCUGAAAUUAUUGUUUCUCCUCCUGUUGUCUCUUUCCGUGAAACUGUUCUUGAGAAAUCCUGCCGAACAGUCAUGAGCAAGUCCCCCAACAAGCACAACCGUCUUUACAUGGAAGCCCGUCCCUUGGAAGAGGGUCUCCCUGAGGCUAUUGAUGAGGGCCGCAUUGGUCCACGUGAUGAUCCCAAGGUUCGCUCCAAGAUCCUCUCUGAGGAGUUUGGUUGGGACAAGGAUCUUGCCAAGAAGAUUUGGUGCUUUGGACCUGAGACCACUGGCCCGAACAUGGUUGUUGAUAUGUGUAAGGGAGUGCAGUACCUCAAUGAAAUCAAGGAUUCUGUUGUGGCUGGCUUCCAGUGGGCCUCAAAGGAGGGUGCACUGGCUGAGGAGAACAUGCGUGGCAUCUGCUUUGAGGUCUGUGAUGUUGUUCUUCAUGCUGAUGCAAUUCACAGGGGUGGUGGCCAGGUCAUUCCAACUGCCAGGAGGGUUAUUUAUGCUUCUCAGCUCACUGCCAAGCCAAGGCUGCUCGAGCCAGUUUAC